rnacentral:lncRNA from 1 species
UUUUGGGCUGAGGGCAAUUAUAAUGAAAUCGAUGGACUAUUUUACGUUAUCAAGCUAUUUGGUUUUCUCUGAACCUCCAGCACCAACAACUUGCAAUGAUGGAGAGAUUUUAAUGAUUAUACUACCUGAACCAAAACUCGAGCUAUUGAAACGUGUGUAUAUGAACUCUGAACCUUCAUUCAAUCUCCUGUACAUCCUCCAGUUUAUGAUGAAUGAAAAAUUGCUGUAAGAGAAGACAAGAAUGAGCAAGGUAUAAUGGUCUUUUUUUAUUUGCAUUUUUGUAUACAGCUUUAGUUGUAGCACUACCAUGAAAAUUAAUGACGUUCCUUCAAAUUCAGCUUUAGUUGUAGCACUACCGUUUUUUAUGGUUUGAAUAUUUUUAUGGCUGGACUCUUUUAUAAAGCCUGUGUACAGUCCUCUUUCCUUCAAAUUCCUAUGCUUUUUUUUGUACUUCAAGCAAGUUUAGUAAUUACUAAUAGUGAUCUGAAUGAGGUGAGGUUGAGUUUUUCAAAAACAGCCGCCGCAAUGAACCCAUUUCUGCAUGAUCUGAAUUGAAAGAAGCCGGGCUAUCAGAUUCAUUGGCCACUCUGUUCCUGCCAAUCCGCUCCCUGAGUUGAUGGUCAUGUAAAUUCCUAGAUAACACAGAUCCAUAUAUAACAAGUUAAUACCAUGUCUGAAUGGCCCUUGCUGAUCAAUUUGUUUUCAUAUGUACAUGUGAAAUUUCACACUUCUUGGGGAAACGAUUCAAAGCUCUCCUUUACUAUUCUUGUAGCGAGAUCUAUUUUCCUCUGUGUGCAUAGUUUGUGGUAUUCAUAUAGUCAAGUGGUUUCAACAACCGAAUGCAUCUAUGCUUGACACGAUUAAGCUGAACAAAAGCAGCAUUACCUUUCAUAUUUCCUUUCUAGGUAUCUCAAAAGGAAGAAUGUGUUUAUGUGCCCAAUAUCCUUUUAGCUUACUAUCCAAAUCGUUCUCUGCUGUGAUGAGGAUAGAGUUUCGUAUGCACAUGCAUUUGCAUGUCAUUGGACUGGAGGAUUUGCUUGUUCUGUUUAUUGAAUUUAAACUGGACUUACUUCACCUACUCUUUCAUAUAUCAUUCGGAUACAGUUUUGCUUAAUUUAUCUUUAAUCUGAAAUUGUACUGUAAACUGUACUUUGUUGACCUACUCUUUCAUACAUCAUUCGGAUACAGUUUUGCUUAAUUUAUCUUUCAUCUGGCAUCUGAGAGUAUCAUCUCUGUGAGAUCAUGUUCUUCUCAUUUCUUUCCCCUGUUUUUUAAUCUUUCAAGGGUCACAAAUUAUGGUGGCUCAGUCCUUGCCCUUGGCCCCAUCCUUUCCAUCAAAAAUAAUAAGCUGCGCAUCAAGGGCGCCGGCUCGCGAGUGCCACGUUCGCAAGUUUUACUGUGUCGAGGAGGACAGAAACAAAACGCCCGCACCCCUCGCACCUCUCUCUCCCAGCCAUUCUUUCAUUCUCCCCUCCCAGUUAGGGUUCCCGCCGCCGCCGCUCGUGCUUCACCUCCCGUCCCAAGCUCCACCUAUCAUCCAGCGUCAUCUCCCCCGAUCUACUCGAUUUCAAUCUCAGGAGCGCACGGGAGGCGAGGUGCCCGUUGCCGGGACAGGGGCCAUGUGGAGGCUCAGCCCUUGGAUCCCUCCGUUUCGCGGGCCAGGGCGCCCAUCCGCGCCGCGCCGCCGCCGGCAUAGAGGCCCGGGCUCGGGCAGCCGCCACGGUGCCGGGUGCGCCAACGAGGUCUUUAGGGACCGCGUGGUGGGCGUGACCUCUCCCGGCUCCCCGCCCUCGCCUGCGACGACGAGUAGCAGGUCUGGCUGCUCCUGCAGUCCCAGCUCAUGGUCGUGCUGGACAAGCCCCACCACGUGCCUUGGAUUCGGUCGUGGCGUGGGCUGGGAACCGUGCGGUGUUGUCUGAUGCGUUGUACGCGGUACGCACCGGGAGGUUUGGUUGGUCGAAGCCAGUAUGAGUAGCUCUUGAGGCUGAUGGAUGGAUGGAUGUGUGCACGCCUGUAUGUGUGUAUGGAUGUCAGGGUCAUGUUGCUUGGUGGGCAAAGGCGGGGGGUAGAACCUCCUUUUGCUUGGCGGGCAAAGGCUGAUGGAUGGGUGGAUGUGUGCACGCCUGACGCCUGUAUGUAUGUAUGUAUGAAUAUCAGGCUCAUGUUGCUUGGUGGGCAAAGGCCGGGGGUAGAACCUCCUUUUCGGUAAAAAAAAAAAGGGGGACGAUGAUGAUGACUCUGGCUGAAAUAAGCAUGUCUUGAGCAAUCAAGACUGUUGUGGCCUGUGGGUACUAAAUUAGAGCUCACCCUUACCUCUCUUGCAGCCUGUUCAAUUCAUCGGUAAUGUUCGAUGUUCUGCUCCUCGGAUGGUCACUCUGAUGAGCGAUAACCAGGGCAGUUCGUUUACAUUGCGAUGGAUAUAUUAUGCAGCAUGAGAUGUGAGUGUUGGGCUUGAAGAUCGAAGACAAAACUGAGCCCUCUUUUGCUAUGCUACAAAUACACAAAUUUUCCUUAUUUACUGUACAGUGUUCUUCUUUCUGUUCUAUUUCUCUAUUGUGUUGAUGUGAGUGAAGAUCCACCUGGACUUGGGAUUUAUGUCUUCUUUUGGUGAUGAACUCAACCACCCUAAGCCUACUUGGAUUGAUUUAUAAUUGGGUUUGUUUUGCCUUUCUAGUUGUAUAUACUAUAUGUAUUACACGAUUGUCCUUUUUCUCCACUGCCUGUAGCUAUUGGCAGUUUUAUUCAUGUGGUUAACAAGAUACCGUCGUCCUGUUUGUCUUGUUAGUAAGCAUGUUAGCUUUUGCCAGAUGCUUCUUCAAAGACCAACUUCGAUCCUCCACGGGAUUGCAAAGAGUUGUCAUUAAAACAGAUUGCCAAAUUGUGCUAUCUAUUUUGGUCAGAGCAGGCCCUUUGUUAUGAUCCUCUUUGCUAUUUAGUUCACUGGUCAUCAAUCUCUUUUAAGCUGCUGCUGUUAAUAUUAACUGCCACAUUGGUUAUUAGAAUCACAUGAUGCAUUAGUGCAGUACAGAUCCCUCACAUGUUGCUUAAAAUGAGAGUGUCAAGUAAAUUUAUCAGCUGGAAAGUUUUUUGGGUUAAAAAUGUCUUUAUAUUUUGUCUAAUCAUGAAUGAAAGUCCUCUUGGAGCUUUUGCUUGGGCCAUUUGGGAUCUGUAUGUUGGCCAUUGUCCCCCCUUCACAUUAUAUGUUUUAAAAUUUAUUUAGUGGUCUUGCUUUGGUUUUUGUAGGCGACCUCAAUCGCCACCAUGAGAGGAGCAGGGGUGGAGGCUGCUCUUGGGUACGAGAGGAGCACAGCAGGGAAUUGUUCAGAGGGUAGGCCAAGGGACGCCGAGUCGAGUCAGCCGUCAGGUAAUUUCAAGCUCGAUCUUGGGCGGCACAUGAGCCAUGUUGGGCUGCUUGUUAAUCUGCAUUCCCUUCUUUCUCGUUUCCCAUCCAAACUAACUGUUACUUUUGGAUAUAGAUAGAGCGAACACGUUCAUGGCUUUCUGUGAUUUUCCUGGCUGAUUUGGGUGUGAAUCGCGCGUUCGUCCUGUAAAACACGGCGCCGCAGAGGCUUACCCGCACCCAGACGUCGACCUCAAGAAGCUGCGCCAGCUCAUCCUCGAGGUCCGACGACCCCAGGCCUGACCUCGAUGAGUGCCCAAUCUGCUUCCCGGUCAGUCCCCUUUUAGUGAGUUUCUCCUUGUUCCUCCAAUGGUUCCAACAAUAGAUAUCUGCAAAAUUCUGACUGCCGCUUCCCCCCUGUGUCUUUAUUGCAGUUCUAUCCGAGCCUUAGUUGGUCAAGUGCUGCCCAACUGUAAGUCUCAUUGUUAGUCAAGAGCACAUUCAUCUUCAGCAUUACACUGGUUCUUUUUCAUUUUUUCAUAAGUAGGGAUUGGCUUAAUAAUUUACUCUCUUUUGAGAAAAUUGAUAAGAGUUGCAGAACAUUUUCUUUCAAGUAAUCUUAUUUGUUCUUUGUUAUUUGUUUCUAGGAAACAUGAAUUGAGUGAUGACACUAUAGAUUUCACUGGCCACGUGCUUGCUCUUUACAGGAACGAUAGCUACCUAAGCGAGCUACCACUUGAUAUACUGUUAAAAGAAUGGAAGUAUGCCUUAACUGAAGAUUUUAGCUUUAUCUUUCCCUCAUCCUUGAACUUGUUGAUUUUGUAGGGUUUUUGUGGAUCGUGCUGAUCGUUCUGGGGCAUUGGAGUGGGCCAACUACCUGACGACAGGCAAGAUCGAGGUGCUGUCCGUGUAGUGGUUGCUCGGCCGCGACCAUGGGGUGAGGCUCCUUUUCUUUUUAUUUUUGUGAUCGUUUGAUUGUUCAGAAGAUAGGUUAGAUUUUUUGUGGCAUAUCAUUAUGUUUUGUCUGUUUGUGUAUUCCUUUUCCUAUUUUAUUAUUGGCUGUGUGACGAGAAGUCAGAGCGACAAAUCUGAAGCGACUCCUCCCUGGUAAGUUCCAUGUACUGGGAUUUUACUUAUUGAUUUUUUUCUCUAAAUGGUAGAAUGAUACUUCUUCUGAUAUUGUAUUCUAGAACAAUCCUAUGUUUUGUUCUUGUUACUAUAGAAGUGCAUCCCCCUUUUAUUCUGAUAGCAAGAUGCUCUUUAUUUUCAAUGCAAAUAAAUGAUUACUGGAGCCCAUGUAUAUUGUACAGCAAUGCAGUAUGUGGUGUUAUUUUUCAUUUUUUAUAGAUAGUGGUAAAAAUGAAAUCUGAUCCAAAGUAUGUGGUGUACAAUUCAUGGAAAACCUUACUGGGUUGAUAACAAUUAAAUUUGAUUUAGUACUACCUGAAGAGUUCUUUAUUUGUGCUUUAUAAAGUCAGAUUAAUUUUCAUUUUUUAGUUGUAUGCUUUGUAGAUCAGUAUACUGACGAAUGGUGCCUCGGCGUUUUAGUUUAUUAUCUGGUCUUUCACACCCAUUAACAGUGAACUCAUUUGAAGGUUGGAGAGUCUACCCCGGAAUCAUUUGAGAUCGUCGCACGAGUUUCUUCUGAAGCUGUGAGAUCUGGGACGGUGGAUACAUUGAGCUUGAGGAGAAGAUCAGCCACUUCAUCCACGAUGACGCACUCAUCCACUAGGUAUCUACAAUACAUCUUACUUCCUAUGUAUUCUUGGGUCAGCUAGCUAUCAGUUUCAAGUCACAACUUGCAAAUUUCAGAAAUUCGUUGGAUAAAUAUUUGAAUAUGGUUAUUUUCUAAGAAAUGAGACAAUUUGGAAAAUAGAACCUUCAGCAUGGAUCUGGAGGUAGCAGCAACCCAAUCAAGCUAUACAACAUGCACCUGAGAUCACUCUGUGUGCCAUGUCACCUGUUCCAUUUCCUUCCUGUUAUUUCACUCCAUCAUACCGGUCUAAUUUACUUUCAAAUAGAUGCAAGUCUAGAAAUGAUUAUUGGGGCUCUAUCAUCCAUCCAUACAUCCAAGUUUAACUAGAACAGGAAAUGACCUUCAUCCAGAAUUUGUAGCACUUGCCGUGUUCCCUUGGAAAUUUGAUGUAAUGAUACACGGUGUAGUUCUGUAUGUGCGGUGUGAGGAAAGGUCCGACGAGAGCAGCAGCAUGUACUUCCGUUGGUACUGUUUGAUGUAGCUAAAUAUGUCUUUGUUAACAAUUUUAUUUACUAAGCAUUAUUUAUUUGACACUUCCAUUGUGAUGCUUCCAGGCCAAAAUUAAUGAGAUUUACAAGCUAUUGACACUAUGUUUUAUGUGUUGUUUUGCAGGUACUGAUCUUGGUGUCGAUUCCUACCUCUAGCUUCUGUUGACACAACUUCAGUUGGUCACAUGUUUCUUGGUUGUUGAAGUAUGCUUGGUGGUUCUUCGUUGAGGGUUGAGAUGGACCAUGCACUGGGUACACUCUUUGAUGAUUUUGUCGGCAUCCAACUGUUCUCGAAUUGGUUAUCUUCUCUUAUCUCUCCAUGUGCUUCAUCUUCUCUUAUCUCUCCAUGUGCUUCUUAAUUUUCUUGUGCAAUGAAUGCUGAAUUUAGACAGCAGUGAUUUGUUUGUGCAGUCCAUGCUUUGACAUUGAAAAUGUGAAGAUGGAAUUAUGAGGUUUGGACCGUGAUGGUGGUUGAUUAAUUUUUAUUCUGGGCAUUACAUUAUUAAUAUGAACUAUAGUUACAAUUGUUGAACUACACUAUUUUGUCUGCUAAAUUCUGGGCAUUGGGUCCAAUCUAUAUAUAGCUAAUAAGAUGAUUAUUUAAUUUUUCCAUUGGACGUGGAAUUUACCAUAUGUGGCUACUUUCAGGUUAGUAAGUUUUGUUCUUCAUUAUAGCAUGGACUCUUGUUUCUCAGUAGUAUAUGCUUAAUUUGCUCUUACUGGAGACAAAAAAUUCCCUCAAACUGCAAGGAAUGAUGUAAUAUAAGAGGAGAAUUAGAUCUGUCUCACACCUCGCCUUCAAUAAUAAGAUAAGUGGUGGAUUUUUAUGGGAAUUUUCUGGAGAAAAUAUUAGGUGGGGAUUUGAAAUUGGAAAUGAAAAGGGUGUGGAAUGCCAAGUGAUGUCUCUGUUUGUUAUAAGCUGCCUUGUCAUACUAAAUGCAUGUUUUCUCCUGUUGUAAUACACAUAUUGAUCUUCUACUUUUCUGAUCAAACUGGGAAUCAUACUAUUCUUUUUUUGUCCAGUACACCCCACUAAUUAGAAAACCAGAAAUGUUGGCUACAAUUCCAACGGGCCAGGCCAGGUGGGCCCAGCCGCCACUCAACAAGGCGGCCGCCGCUGCCGCUGCCGCUCCCAGGCCGACAGCUACAGCUACACACGGGCCCAGCAGGCGGGCCAUGCCGCCACUACAUGAGGUGGCAGGACUGUAGCUGGUGCAUGCGCUCCCACAGCCUCGGCUGUUGCAGACGACGCUGAUUACUGCGGCCAAAGACGCUGAUUGCUGCGGCCAACGGGACAGAUUCCCACGUGCGGGAAUCCGAUGCCUUGGUUUGCUUUCUGCCACAAGUUACGAUGCUCUGGAAUCAGAUUCCCGCCUAAACUUUGACGUCUUGUGUACUGAUUCAUACACAGACGACACUGAUUAAAGUACUGCAUGAUUAAAACAGGGAAGAGGCUCGUCGUGUGGAGGAGUAGGAACGACAGUGAAAGGAGGCUCGUGAGGCAGAGAGACAGAGAAAAAAAGAAAGGGCUCGUGAGGCCAAGGAUGUAUCUAAUUUCAGUUGUACCGUGUCGUAAAGAAAAAAAAUAUAGUUUUGGCAUAAAAUGUGGCAUUUUCUUGCCGCCAUUUUUUGCCCGCCAAAAAUUAUUUCCGUCAUUUUCUUUCCCGCCAAUUUUUCCUUCUUUCCUUCUCUCCCCACCGGAAAAACUUUAAUAAUACAAACUAAUUAUCAAACGUUAUGCAAAAACUACAUCAUGAAAUUAAGAUAGAACAUAAUGCCCUACAAUAAGACAGUACAAACUAAUAAUGCAAGUACAUCUGAAUUAAACGGUAGAACUGGACUUGAAAACUAAAAAUAUAGCUUAAAAACUACAUGAAGGCAUCAUCGUCAUCCUCCGUCGAUGCAGAACUCUUGCCCUUCGAGGAUGCAGAACUCUUACCCUUGGACGAUGCAGAACUCUUGCCCUUUGAGGAUGCAUAACUCUUUCCCUUGGACGAUGCAGAACUCUUGCCCUUCGACGAUGCAGAACCCGGAAGCGGCGGCAUGAAGAUAUCAUCUUCGUCUCGCUGUCGUCAGUCCAUAAAUAUGGAUUCUUUGCUGCAGUCCUUCUGAAAGUUUCACUCUUCAGCUCCACUACCUUCUUCCACCUUUCAUGCAACCUAAGAAGUUCUUUACGUACCUCCUCAUAGGUCCUUUCAGGCCACCCAGACGUACGUAGUUCGUGAGCCAACUCAUUCAUUAUGGUGUGUCACUACCGGUGAGUUUGUCCCAUGGAACUAUCCUAUUGUCCAUCCUAAAAUGGUGGCUAACCUCAGAAGACAUCUGCUCAUCCCAGGGUGAAAACUACGAUCAAAAGGAUAAUCGGACAUCUCGACUACAGUACAUUGGACUGCUUAUCCACCUCCGUGUGAAGGGGGUUUUAUAAGUAGAGAGGAGAAAAUGGCGGGAAAGAACGACUGCGGUAUGGCGGGAAAGUGUUGGCGGGAAACGGGUGGCGGGAAGAUAUGGCGGGAAGGGGUUGGCGGGAAACAGGUGGCGGGAACAUAUGGAGGGAAAGAGUUGGCGGGAAAAUACUGAGGGGAAAGGGUUGCGCGAAAAUAUAUAUUUUCAAUGUCUAAGAUGGGCAAUGGUCGCACAGUAUUCAUAAGCCAAAAUUAAGAUAUAGGCGGGAAACAUUGUUGUCGACUAGUGCAUUUUUAUUUCAGCAUACAUAGAUGUUUAAAUCAGAAAGUCUGAUACUGACAUAUGUAGAUGCAAUGGGCCGCACACGUGGAUAGAUGAAUCACCCUAGUCGACGACGGCCGCCUGGCCUUUCCUUAGGACCGGAAAGCGACUAGCGAUUAGGUGGUCGAGUUACACGAAGACCGCGUUCGUACUCCAGUUCGGCUUCCUGUGUCUGCGACUCCUACGUAGGUGGUGGAGUCUCGAAUCCUUGUUGCGAACCUGAUGCGUAAUUGUAGGCGUAUGGUUGUGACUCCUCGGGGAUAAAAGAUGGGCCAAUAGCGUCCCCUCCGAAGAACUUUGUAACUAAUGAUGUAACCGUGUCGCCAUGAUCAUGUGAUGCUCCCUGGAUGCGUGUGUUGAGGCCACGUUGGGUGUCCUCUGUUGGGGAACGUAGUAAUUCAAAAAAAUUCCUAUGAUCACACAAGAUCUAUCUAGGAGAUGCAUAGCAACGAGACGGGAGAGUGUGUCCACGUACCCUCGUAGACCGAAAGCGGAAGCGUUUAGUAACGCGGUUGAUGUAGUUGAACGUCUUCACGAUCCAACCGAUCCAAGUACCGAACGUACGUCACCUCCGUGUUCAGCACACAUUCAGCACGAUGACGUCCCUCGAACUCUUGAUCCAGUUGAGGACGAGGGAGAGUUCCGUCAGCAUGACGGCGUGGCGACGCUGAUGAUGAAUUUACCGGCGCAGGGCUUCGCCUAAGCACUACGAUGAUAUGACCGAGGUGUUAAACUGUGGAGGGGGGCACCGCACACGGCUAAGAGAUUGUCUGUUGUACUUUGGGGUGCCCCCCUGCCCACGUAUAUAAAGGAGGGGGGAGGAGGAUGCCGGUCAAGGCGGAGGCACGCCAGGGGGGGAGUCCUACUAGGACUCCAAACCUAGUAGGAUUCCGCCCCCCUUUCCUUCCAACGGAGAGGGGGAAAGUGGAAAGGAGGGAGAGGGAGAAGGAAAGAGGGGGGCCGCACCCCCUCCCCUUGUCCAAUUCGGAUUGGGGCAAGGGGGGCGCGCCCCACCUCCUGUGGCCUGCCUCCUCCCUUCCACUAUGGCCCAUUAGGCCCGAUAACUUUCCCGGGGGGUUCCGAUAGCCUCACGGUACUCCGAUAAAUCCCCAAACCUUAUCGGAACCAUUCCGAUGUCCGUAUAUAACCUUCCAAUAUAUCAAUCUUUACCUCUCGACCAUUUCGAGACUCCUCGUCAUGUCCGUGAUCUCAUCCGGGACUCCAAACAAACUUCGGUCAUCAAAUCACUCAUAAUACAAAUCAUCAUUGAACGUUAAGCGUGUGGACCCUACAGGUUCGAGAACUAUGUAGACAUGACCGAGACACAUCUCCGGUCAAUAACCAAUAGCAGAACCUGGAUGCUCAUAUUGGCUCCUACAUAUUCUACGAAGAUUUUUAUCGGUCAAACCGCAUAACAACAUACAUCAUUCCCUUUGCCAUCGGUAUGUUACUUGCCCGAGAUUCGAUGUCGGUAUCUUCAUACCUAGAGCAAUCUCGUUACCGGCAAGUCUCUUUACUCGUUCCGUAAUGCAUCAUCCCGUAACUAACUCAUUAGUCACAUUGCUUGCAAGGCUUAUAGUGAUGUGCAUUACCGAGAGGGCCCAGAGAUACCUCUCCGAUACUCGGAGUGACAAAUCCUAAUCUUGAUCUAUGCCAACUCAACAAACACCAUCGGAGACACCUGUAGAGCAUCUUUAUAAUCACCCAGUUACGUUGUGACGUUUGAUAGCACACAAAGUGUUCCUCCGGUAUUCGGGAGUUGCAUAAUCUCAUAGUCAGAGGGAUAUGUAUAAGUCAUGAAGAAAGCAAUAGCAAUAAAACUAAACGAUCAUAAGCUAACGGAUGGGUCUUGUCCAUCACAUCAUUCUCUAAUGAUGUGAUCCCAUUGAUCAAAUGACAACACAUGUCUAUGGUCAGGAAACUUAACCAUCUUUGAUUAACAAGCUAGUCAAGUAGAGGCAUACUAGGGACACUCUGUUUGUCUAUGUAUUCACACAUGUACUAAGUUUCCGGUUAAUACAAUUCUAGCAUGAAUAAUAAACAUUUAUCAUGAUAUAAGGAAAUAUAAAUAACAACUUUAUUAUUGCCUCUAGGGCAUAUUUCCUUCAGUCUCCCACUUGCACUAGAGUCAACAAUAUAGAUUACAUAGUAAUGAUUCUAACACCCAUGGAGUCUUGGUGUUGAUCAUGUUUUGCUCGUGGAAGAGGCUUAGUCAACGGCCUGCAACACUCAGAUUCGUAUGUAUUAUGCAAAUCUCUAUGUCUCCCUCCUUGACUUGAUCGCGGAUGGAAUUGAAGCGUCUCUUGAUGUGUUUGGUUCUUUUGUGAAAUCUGGAUUCCUACGCCAAGGCUAUUGCUGAAGAAAAUAUGUCCUAGAGGCAAUAAUAAAGUUAUUAUUUAUUUCCUUAUUUCAUGAUAAAUGUUUAUUAUUCAUGCUAGAAUUGUAUUAACCGGAAACUUGAUACAUGUGUGAAUACAUAGACAAACAUAGUGUCACUAGUAUGCCUCUACUUGACUAGCUCGUUAAUCAAAGAUGGUUGAGUUUCCUAGCCAUAGACAUGAGUAGUCAUUUGAUUAACGGGAUCACAUCAUUAGGAGAAUGAUGUGAUUGACUUGACGCAUUCCGUUAGCUUAGCACUUGAUCGUUUAGUAUGUUGCUAUUGCUUUCUUCAUGACUUAUACAUGUUCCUAUGACUAUGAGAUUAUGCAACUCCCGUUUACCAGAGGAACACUUUGCGUGCUACCAAACGUCACAGCAUAACUGGGUGAUUAUAAAGGUGCUCUACAGGUGUCUCCGAAGGUACUUGUUGGGUUGGCGUAUUUCGUGAUUAGGAUUUGUCACUCCGAUUGUCGGAGAGGUAUCUCUGGGCCCACUCAGUAAUGCACAUCACUAUAAGCCUUGCAAGCAUUGUAACGAAUGAGUUAGUUGCGGGAUGAUGUAUUACAGAACGAGUAAAGAGACUUGCCAGUAACGAGAUUGAACUAGGUAUUGAGAUACCGACGAUCGAAUCUCGGGCAAGUAACAUACCGAUGACAAAGGGAACAACAUAUGUUGUUAUGCGGUUUGACCAAUAAAGAUCUUCGUAGAAUAUGUGGGAGCCAAUAUGAGCAUCUAGGUUCCGCUAUUGGUUAUUGACCGGAGAUGUGUCUCGGUCAUGUCUACAUUGUUCUCGAACCCGUAGGGUCCGCACGCUUAAAGUUUGAUGACGGUUAUAUUAUGAGUUUAUGUGUUUUGAUGUACCGAAGGUAGUUCGGAGUCCCGGAUGAGGUCGGGGACAUGACGAGGAGUCUCGAAAUGGUCGAGACAUAAAGAUCGAUAUAUUGGACGACUAUAUUCGGACAUCGGAAAGGUUCCAAGUGAUUCGGGUAUUUUUCGGAGUACUGAAGAGUUACGGGAAUUCGCCGGGGAGUAUAUGGGCCUUAUUGGGCUUUAGGGGAAAGAGAGAGGAGAGGCUGGGCGCCCCCCAAGGCCUAGUCCGAAUUGGACUAGGGGGAGGGGCUGCGCCCCCUCCUUCCUUCUCUUCUCUCUCCCCUUUCCUUGACUCCUACUCCUACUACUUGGAAGGGGGGAAUCCUACUCCUAGUGGGAGUAGGACUCCCCCUUGGCGCGCCUCUCCCUGGCCGGCCGCCUCCUCCCCUUGCUCCUUUAUAUACGGGGGCAGGGGGCACCCCAUAGACACAACAAUUGAUCAUUGAUCUCUUAGCCGUGUGCGGUGCCCCCCUCCACCAUAAUCCACCUCGAUAAUAUCGUAGCGGUGCUUAGGCGAAGCCCUGCGUCGGUAGAACAUCAUCAUCGUCAGCAUGCCGUCGUGCUGAUGAAACUCUCCCUCAACACUUGACUGGAUCGGAGUUCGAGGGACGUCAUCGAGUUGAACGUGUGCAGAACUCGGAGGUGCCGUGCGUUUGGUACUUGAUCGGUCGGAUCGUGAAGACGUACGACUACAUCAACCGCGUUGUGCUAACGCUUCUGCUUUCGGUCUAUGAGGGUACGUAGACAACACUCUCCCCUCUCAUUGCUAUGCAUCACCAUGAUCUUGCGUGUGCGUAGGAAUUUUUUUGAAAUUACUACAUUCCCCAACAGUGGUAUCCGAGCCUGGUUUUAUACGUAGAUGUCAUAUGCACGAGUAGAACACAAGUGAGUUGUGGGCGAUAUAAGUCAUACUGCUUACCAGCAUGUCAUACUUUGGUUCGGCGGUAUUGUUGGAUGAAGCGGCCCGGACCGACAUUACGCGUACGCUUACACGAGACUGGUUCUACCGACGUGCUUUGCACACAGGUGGCUGGCGGGUGUCAAUUUCUCCAACUUUAGUUGAACCGAGUGUGGCUACGCCCGGUCCUUGCGAAGGUUAAAGCAGCACCAACUUGACAAACUAUCGUUGUGGUUUUUGAUGCGUAGGUAAGAACGGUUCUUGCUCAACCCGUAGCAGCCACGUAAAACUUGCAACAAUAAAAUAGAGGACGCCUAACUUGUUUUUGCAGGGCAUGUUGUGAUGUGAUAUGGUCAAGGCGUGAUGCUAAAUUUUAUUGUAUGAGAUGAUCAUGUUUUGUAACCGAGUUAUCGGCAACUGGCAGGAGCCAUAUGGUUGUCGCUUUAUUGUAUGCAAUGCAAUCGCCCUGUAAUGCUUUACUUUAUCACUAAGCGGUAGCGAUAGCCGUAGAAGCAUAAGAUUGGCGAGACGACAACGAUGCUAUGAUGGAGAUCAAGGUAUCGCGCCGGUGACGAUGGUGAUCAUGAUGGUGCUUCGGAGAUGGAGAUCACAAGCACAAGAUGAUGAUGGCCAUAUCAUAUCACUUAUAUUGAUUGCAUGUGAUGUUUAUCUUUUAUGCAUCUUAUCUUGCUUUGAUUGACGGUAGCAUUAUAAGAUGAUCUCUCACUAAAUUUCAAGAUAAAAGUGUUCUCCCUGAGUAUGCACCGUUGCCAAAGUUCGUCGUGCCCAGACACCACAUGAUGAUCGGGUGUGAUAAGCUCUACGUCCAUCUACAACGGGUGCAAGCCAGUUUUACACACGCAGAAUACUCAGGUUAAACUUGACGAGCCUAGCAUAUGCAGAUAUGGCCUCGGAACACUGAGACCGAAAGGUCGAGCGUGAAUCAUAUAGUAGAUAUGAUCAACAUAGUGAUGUUCACCAUUGAAAGCUACUCCAUUUCACGUGAUGAUCGGUUAUGGGUUAGUUGAUAUGGAUCACGUGAUCACUUAGAGGAUUAGAGAGAUGUCUAUCUAAGUGGGAGUUCUUAAGUAAUAUGAUUAUUUGAACUUUAAUUUAUCAUGAACUUAGUCCUGGUAGUAUUAGCAUAUCUAUGUUGUAGAUCAAUACCUCGUGUUUUGCUCCCUGUUUAUAUUUUAAUACGUUCCUAGAGAAAACUAAGUUGAAAGAUGUUAGUAGCAAUGAUGCGGAUUGGAUCCGUGAUCUGAGGUUUAUCCUCAUUGCUGCACAGAAGAAUUAUGUCCUUAAUGCACUGCUAGGUGACAGACCUAUUGCAGGAGCAGAUGCAGACGUUAUGAACGUUUGGUAGCUCAAUAUGAUGACUACUUGAUAGUUUAGUGCACCAUGCUUAACGGCUUAGAAUCGGGACUUCAAAGACGUUUUGAACGUCAUGGACCAUAUGAGAUGUUCCAGGAGUCGAAGUUAAUAUUUCAAGCAAAUACCCGAGUUGAGAGAUAUGAAGUCUCCAACAAGUUCUAUAGCUAAAAGAUGGAGGAGAAUAGCUCAAGGAGUGAGCAUGUGCUCAGAUUAUCUGGGUACUACAAUCGCUUGAAUCAAGUGGGAGUUAAUCUUCCAGAUAAAAUAGUGAUUGACAGAAUUCUCUAGUCACCAUCACCAAGUUAGUUGAACUUCGUGAUGAACUAUAGUAUGCAAGGGAUGACGAAAACGAUUCCCGAGCUUUUUAUGAUGAUGAAAUCGAUGAAGGUAGAAAUCAAGAAAGAGCAUCAAGUGUUGAUGAUUAACAAGACCACUAGUUUCAAGAAAAGGGCAAAGGGAAGAAAAGGGAAUUUCAAGAAGAACGGCAAGCGAGUUGCUGCUCAAGUGAAGAAGCCCAAGUCUGGACCUAAGCCUAAGACUGAGUGCUUCUACUGCAAAGGAACUGGUCACUGGAAGCGGAACUGCCCUAAGUAUUUGGCGGAUAAGAAGGAUGGCAAAGUAAACAAAGGUAUAUUUGAUAUACAUGUUAUUGAUGUGUACUUUACUAGUGUUUAUAGCAACCCCUAAGUAUUUGAUACUAGUUCAGUUGCUAUGAUUAGUAACUCGAAAUGGGAGUUGCAGAAUUAACAGAGACUAGUUAAGGGUGAAGUGACGAUGUAUGUUGGAAGUGGUUCCAAGAUUGAUAUGAUCAUCAUCGCAGACUCCCUAUAUUUUCAGGAUUAGUGUUGAACCUAAAUAAGUGUUAUUUGGUGUUUGCGUUGAGCAUGAAUAUGAUUUGAUCAUGUUUAUUGCAAUACUGUUAUUCAUUUAAGUUAGAGAACAAUUAUUGUUCUGUUUACAUGAAUAAAACCUUCUAUGGUCAUAAACACCAACGAAAAUGGUUUGUUGGAUCUCGAUCGUAGUAAUACACAUAUUCAUAAUAUUGAAGCCAAAAAGAUGCAAAGUUAAUAAUGAUAGUGCAACUUAUUUGUGGCACUGCCGUUUAGGUCAUAUUGGUGUAAAACGCAUGAAGAAACUCCAUGCUGAUGGGAUUUUGGAAUCACUUGAUUAUGAAUCACUUGAUGCUUGCGAACCAUGCCUCUUGGGCAAGAUGACUAAAACGCCGUUCUCCGGAACAAUGAAGCAAGCAACAGAUUUGUUGGAAAUCAUACAUACUGAUGUAUGUGGUCCGAUGAGUGUUGAGGCUCGCUGCGGGUAUCGUUAUUUUCUGACCUUCACAGAUGAUAUGAGCAGAUAUGAGUAUAUCUACUUGAUGAAACAUAAGUCUGAAACAUUUGAAAAGUUCAAAGAAUUUCAGAGUGAAGUGGAAAAUCAUCGUGACAAGAAAAUAAGGUUUCUACGAUCUGAUCGCGGAGACGAAUAUUUGAGUUACGAGUUUGGUCUUCAAUUAAAACAAUGUGGAAUAGUUUCACAAAUUCGUGCCACCUGGAACACCACAACAUAAUGGUGUGUCCGAACAUCAUAACCGUACUUUAUUGGAUAUAGUGCAAUCUAUGAUGUCUCUUACCGAUUUACCACUAUCGUUUUGGGGUGAUGCAUCAGAGACACCUGCAUUCACGUUAAAUAGGGCACCAUCUAAAUCCGUUGAGACGACACCAUAUGAACUGUGGUUUGGCAAGAAACCAAAGUUGUCGUUUCUUAAAGUUUGGGAUUGCAAUGCUUAUAAGAAAAAGUUUCAUCCUGAUAAGCUCAAACCCAAAUCGGAGAAAUGUGUCUUCAUAGGAUACCCAAAGGAGACAGUUGGGUACACCCUCUAUCACAGAUCCGAAGGCAAGAUAUUCGUUGCUAAAUUUGGAUCCUUUCUAGGGAAGGAGUUUCUCUCGAAAGAAGUGAGUGGGAGGAAAGUAGAACUUGAUGAGGUAACUGUACCUGCUCCCUUAUUGGAAAGUAGUUCAUCACAGAAACCGGUUCCUGUGACUCCUACACCAAUUAGUGAGGAAGCUAAUGAUGAUGAUCAUGUAACUUCAGAGCAAGUUACUAUCGAACCUCGUAGGUCAACCAGAGUGAGAUCCACACCAGAGUGGUACGAUAAUCCUAUUCUGGAGGUCAUGUUACUUGACCAUGACGAACCUACGAACUAUGAGGAAGCGAUGAUGAGCCCAGAUUCUGCGAAAUGGUUUGAGGCCAUGAAAUCUAAGAUGGGAUCCAUGUAUGAGAACAAAGUAUGGACUUUGAUUGACUUGCCCAAAUGAUCGGCGAGCCAUUGAGAUUAAAUGGAUCUUCAAGAGGAAGACGGACGCUGAUAGUAGUGUUACUAUCUACAAAGCUAGAAUUGUCGCAAAAGGUUUUUGACAAGUUCAAGGUGUUGACUACGAUGAGAGUUUCUCACUCGUAUCUAUGCUUAAAUCUGUCCGAAUCAUGUUAGCAAUUACCGCAUUUUAUGAAAUCUGGCAAAUGGAUAAACAAAACUGCAUUCCUUAAUGGAUUUAAAGAUGAGUUGUAUAUGAUGCAACCAGAAGGUUUUGUCGAUCCUAAAGGUGUUAACAAAAUGUGCAAGCUCCAGCGAUCCAUCUAUGGACUGGUGCAAGCAUCUCCGAGUUGGAAUAUACGCUUUGAUGAGUUGAUCAAAGCAUAUAGUUUUAUACAGACUUGCGGUGAAGCCUGUAUUUACAAGAAAGUGAGUGGGAGCACUACAACAUUUCUAAUAAGUAUAUGUGAAUGACAUAUUGUUGAUCGGAAAUAAUGUAGAAUUAUUCUGCAAAGCAUAAAGGAGUGUUUGAAAGGAUUUUUUUCAAAGAAAGACCUCGAUGAAGCUGCUUACAUAUUGAGCAUCAAGAUCUAUAGAGAUAGAUCAAAACGCUUGAUAAGUUUUUUCAAUGAGUACAUACCUUGACAAGAUUUUGAAGUAGUUCAAAAUGGAACAGUCAAAGAACGAGUUCUUGCCUGUGUUACAAGGUGUGAAAUUGAGUAAGACUCAAAGCCCGACCACGGCAGAAGAUAGAAAGAGAAUGAAAGUCAUUCCCUAUGCCUCAGCCAUAGGUUCUAUAAAGUAUGCCAUGCUGUGUACCAGAUCUAUUGUAUACCCUACACUGUGUUUUGCAAGGGAGUACAAUAGUGAUCUAGGAGUAGAUCACUGGACAGCGGUCAAAAUUAUCCUUAGUGGAAUAAGGAUAUGUUUCUCAAUUAUGGAGGUGACAAAAGGUUCGUCGUAAAGGGUACGUCGAUGCAAGUUUUGACACUGAUCCAGAUGACUCUAAGUCUCAAUCUGGAUACAUAUUGAAAGUGGGAGCAAUUAGCUAGAGUAGCUCCAUGCAGAGUAUUGUAGACAUAGAAUAUUUGCAAAAUACAUACAACUCUGAAUGUGGCAGACCCGUUGACUAAACUUCUCUCACAAGCAAAACAUAAUCACACCUUAGUACUCUUUGGGUGUUAAUCACAUAGCGAUGUGAACUAGAUUAUUGACUCCAGUAAACCCUUUGGGCGUUGGUCACAUGACGAUGUGAAAUAUGGGUGUUAAUCACAUGGUGAUGUGAACUAUUGAUGUUAAAUCACAUGGCGAUGUGAACUAGAUUAUUGACUCUAGUGCAAGUGGGAGACUGAAGGAAAUAUGCCCUAGUGGCAAUAAUAAAGUUAUUAUUUAUUUCCUUAUUUCAUGAUAAAUGUUUAUUAUUCAAGCUAGAAUUGUAUUAACCGGAAACUUGAUACAUGUGUGAAUACAUAGACAAACAUAGUGUCACUAGUAUGCCUCUACUUGACUAGCUCGUUAACCAAAGAUGGUUGAGUUUCCUAGCCAUAGACAUGAGUAGUCAUUUGAUUAACGGGAUCACAUCAUUAGGAGAAUGAUGUGAUUGACUUGACCCAUUCCGUUAGCUUAGCACUUGAUCGUUUUGUAUGUUGCUAUUGCUUUCUUCAUGACUUAUACAUGUUCCUAUGACUAUGAGAUUAUGCAACUCCCGUUUACCAGAGGAACACUUUGUGUGCUACCAAACGUCACAACGUAACUGGGUGAUUAUAAAGGUGCUCUAUAGGUGUCUCCGAAGGUACUUGUUGGGUUGACGUAUUUCGAGAUUAGGAUUUGUCACUCCGAUUGUCGGAGAGGUAUCUCUGGGCCCACUCAGUAAUGCACAUCACUAUAAGCCUUGCAAGCAUUGUAACUAAUGAGUUAGUUGCGGGAUGAUGUAUUACGGAACGAGUAAAGAGACUUGCCGGUAACGAGAUUGAACUAGGUAGUGAGAUACCGACGAUCGAAUCUCGGGCAAGUAACAUACCGAUGACAAAGGGAACAACGUAUGUUGUUAUGCGGUUUGACCGAUAAAGAUCUUCGUAGAAUAUGUGGGAGCCAAUAUGAGCAUCUAGGUUUCGCUAUUGGUUAUUGACCGGAGAUGUGUCUCGGUCAUGUCUACAUUGUUCUCGAACCCGUACGGUCCGCACGCUUAAAGUUUGAUGACGGUUAUAUUAUGAGUUUAUGUGUUUUGAUGUACCGAAGGUAGUUCGGAGUCCCGGAUGAGGUCGGGGACAUGACGAGGAGUCUCGAAAUGGUCGAGACAUAAAGAUCGAUAUAUUGGACGACUAUAUUCGGACAUCGGAAAGGUUCCGAGUGAUUCGGGUAUUUUUCGGAGUACCGGAGAGUUACGGGAAUUCGCCGGGGAGUAUAUGGGCCUUAUUGGGCUUUAGGGGAAAGAGAGAGGAGAGGCUGGGCACCCCCCAAGGCCUAGUCCGAAUUGGACUAGGGGGAGGGGCUGCGCCCCCUCCUUCCUUCUCUUCUCUCUCCCCUUUCCUUGACUCCUACUCCUACUACUUGGAAGGGGGGAAUCCUACUCCUAGUGGGAGUAGGACUCCCCCUUGGCGCGCCUCUCCCUGGCCGGCCGCCUCCUCCCCUUGCUCCUUUAUAUACGGGGGCAGGGGGCACCCCAUAGACACAACAAUUGAUCAUUGAUCUCUUAGCCGUGUGCGGUGCCCCCCUCCACCAUAAUCCACCUCGAUAAUAUCGUAGCGGUGCUUAGGCGAAGCCCUGCAUCGGUAGAACAUCAUCAUCGUCACCACGCCGUCGUGCUGACGAAACUCUCCCUCAACACUCGGCUGGAUCGGAGUUCGAGGGACGUCAUCUAGUUGAACGUGUGCAGAACUCGGAGGUGCCGUGCGUUCGGUACUUGAUCGGUCGGAUCGUGAAGACAUACGACUACAUCAACCACGUUGUGCUAACGCUUCCGCUUUCGGUCUAUGAGGGUACGUAGACAACACUCUCCCCUCUCGUUGCUAUGCAUCACCAUGAUGUUGCGUGUGCGUAGGAAAGUUUUUGAAAUUAGUACGUUCCCCAACAAUUGCUCCAGUAUUGUCACAAAAGAUUUUCAUUGGACCCAAUGUACUAGGUAUUAUACCUAGAUCGGAUAUGAACUCCUUCAUCCAGACUCCUUCAUUUGCUACUUCCGAAGCAGCUAUGUACUCCGCUUCACACGUAGAUCCCGCCACGACGCUCUGCUUGAAACUGCACCAACUGACAGCUCCACCAUUCAAUAUAAAUACGUAUCCAGUUUGUGACUUAGAUUCAUCCGGAUCAGCGUCAAAGCUUGCAUCGACGUAACCAUUUACGACAAGCUCUUUGUCACCUCAUAAACGACAAACAUAUCCUUAGUCCUUUUCAGGUAUUUCAGGAUGUUCUUGACCGAUGUCCAGUGAUCCACUCCUGGAUUACUUUGGUACCUCCCUGCUAAACUCAUAGCAAGGCACACAUCAAGUCUGGUACACAGCAUUGCAUACAUGAUAGAACCUAUGGCUGAGGCAUAGGGAAUGACUUUCAUUUUCUCUCUAUCAUCUACAGUGGUCGGGCAUUGAGUCUGACUCAACUUCACACCUUGUAACACAGGCAAGAACCCUUUCUUUGACUGGUCCAUUUUGAAGUUCUUCAAAACUUUAUCAAGGUAUGUGCUUUGUGAAAGUCCAAUUAAGCGUCUUGAUCUAUCUCUAUAGAUCUUGAUGCCCAAUAUAUAAGCAGCUUCACCGAGGUCUUUCAUUGAAAAAUUCUUAUUCAAGUAUCCUUUUAUGCUAUCCAGAAAUUCUGUAUUAUUUCCAAUCAAUAAUAUGUCAUCCACAUAUAAUAAUAGAAAUGCUACAGAGCUCCCACUCACUUUCUUGUAAAUACAGGCUUCUCCAAAAGUCUAAAUAAAACCAUAUGCUUUGAUCAUACUAUCAAAGCAUACAUUCCAACUCCGAGGGGCUUGCACCAGUCCAUAAAUGGACGCUGGAGCUUUCACACUUUGUUAGCACCUUUAGGAUCGACAAAACCUUCUAGUUGCAUCAUAUACAACUCUUCUUUAAAAUAUUCAUUAAGGAAUGCAGUUUUGACAUCCAUUUGGCAAAUUUUAUAAUCAUAAAAUGCGGCAAUUGCUAACAUGAUUUGGACAGACUUAAGCAUCGCUACGGGUGAGAAGGUCUCAUCAUAGUCAACCCCUUGAACUUGUCGAAAACCUUUCGCAACAAGUCGAGCUUUGUAGAGAGUAACAUUACCGUCAGCGUCAGUCUUCUUCGUGAAGAUCCAUUUAUUCUCUAUGGCUCGCCGAUCAUCGGGCAAGUCAACCAAAGUCCAUACUUUGUUCUCAUACAUGGAUCCCAUCUCAGAUUUCAUGGCCUCAAGCCAUUUCGCGGAAUCCGGGCUCAUCAUCGCUUCCUCAUAGUUCGUAGGUUCAUCAUGAUCUAGUAACAUGACCUCCAGAAUAGAAUUACCGUACCACUCUGGUGCGGAUCGUUCUCUGGUUGACCUACGAGGUUCGGUAGUAACUUGAUCUGAAGUUUCAUGAUCAUCAUCAUUAGCUUCCUCACUAAUUGGUGUAGGAAUCACUGGAACUGAUUUCUGUGAUGAACUACUUUUCCAAUUCGGGAGAAGGUACAAUUACCUCAUCAAGUUCUACUUUCCUCCCACUCACUUCUUUCGAGAGAAACUCCUUCCCUAGAAAGGAUCCAUUCUUAGCAACGAAUAUCUUGCCUUCGAAUCUGUGAUAGAAGGUGUACCCAACAGUCUCCUUUGGGUAUCCUAUGAAGACACAUUUCUCCGAUUUGGGUUCGAGCUUAUCAGGUUGAAGCUUUUUCACAUAAGCAUCGCAGCCCCAAACUUUAAGAAACGACAACUUAGGGUUCUUGCCAAACCGCAAUUCAUAUGGUGUUGUCUCAACGGAUUUAGAUGGUGCCCUAUUUAACGUGAAUGCAGUCGUUUCUAAAGCAUAACCCAAAAAGAGAGCGGUAAAUCGGUAAGAGACAUCAUAGAUCGCACCAUAUCUAAUAAAGUACGGUUAUGACGUUCGGACACACCAUUACACUGUGGUGUUCCAGGUGGCGUGAGUUGCGAAACUAUUCCACAUUGUUUCAAAUGAAGACCAAACUCAUAACUCAAAUAUUCUCCUCCACGACCAGACCGUAGAAAUUUUAUUUUCUUGUUACGAUGAUUUUCCACUUCACUCUGAAAUUCUUUGAACUUUUCAAAUGUUUUAGACUUAUGUUUCAUUAAGUAGAUAUACCCAUAUCUUCUCAAAUCAUCUGUGAAGGUCAGAAAAUGACGAUACCCGCCAUGAGCCUCAACACUCAUCGGACCGCAUACAUCAGUAUGUAUUAUUUCCAAUAAGUCAGUUGCUCGCUCCAUUGUUCCGGAGAACGGAGCCUUGGUCAUCUUGCCCAUGAGGCAUGGUUCGCAAGCAUCAAGUGAUUCAUAAUCAAGUGAUACCAAAAGUCCAUCAGCAUGGAGUUUCUUCAUGCGCUUUACACCAAUAUGACCUAAACGGCAGUGCCACAAAUAAGUUGCACUAUCAUUAUUAACUUUGCAUCUUUUGGCUUCAAUAUUAUGAACAUGUGUAUCACUACAAUCGAGAUUCAACAAAAAUAGACCACUCAUCAAGGGUGCAUGACCAUAAAAGAUAUUACUCAUAUAAAUAUAACAACCAUUAUUCUCUGAUUUAAAUGAAUAACCGUCUCGCAUCAAACAAGAUCCAGAUAUAAUGUUCAUGCUCAACGCUAGCACCAAAUAGCAAUUAUUUAGGUCUAAAACUAUCCCGACGGUAGAUGUAGAGGUAGCAUGCCGACGGCGAUCACAUCGACUUUGGAACCAUUUCCCACGUGCAUCGUCACCUCGUCCUUAGCCAAUCUUCAUUUAAUCCGUAGCCCCUGUUUCGAGUUGCAAAUAUGAGCAACAUAACCAGUAUUAAAUACCCAGGCGCUACUACGAGAAUUAGUAAGGUACACAUCAAUAACAUGUAUAUCAAAUAGACCUUUCAUUUUGACAUCCUUCUUAUCCGCCAAAUACUUGGGGCCGUUCCGCUUCCAGUGACCAAUCCCUUUGCAGUAGAAGCACUCAGUCUCAGGCUUAGGUCCAGACUUGGGUUUGUUCCCUUGAGCAGCAACUUGCUUGCUGUUCUUCUUGAAGUUCCCCUUCUUCCCUUUGCCCCUUUUAGUGAAACUAGUGGUUUUGUUAACCGUCAACACUUGAUGCUCCUUCUUGAUUUCUACCUUCGCAGCCUUUAGCAUUGCGAAGAGCUCGCGAAUUGUCUUUUCCAUCCCUUGCAUAUUAUAGUUCAUCAUGAAGCCUUUAUAGCUUGGUGGCAGUGAAUAAAGAACUCUGUCAAUGACACUAUCAUCAGCAAGAUUAACUCCCAGCUGAGUCAAGUGGUUAUGAUACCCAGAUAUUUUGAGUAUAUGUUCACUGACAGAACUAUUCUCCUCCAUCUUGCAGCUAUAGAACUUGUUGGAGACUUCGUAUCUCUCAACUUGGGCAUUAGCUUGAAAUAUUAACUUCAACUCCUGGAACAUCUCAUAUGCUCCAUGGCGUUCAAAACGUCUUUGAAGUCCCGGUUCUAAGUCGUAAAGCAUGGCACACUGAACUAUCGAGUAGUCAUCAGCUUUGCUCUGCCGGACGUUCAUAACGUCCGCAGUUGCUCCUGCAGCGGGUCUUGCACCUAGCGGUGCUUCCAGGACGUAAUUCUUCUGUGCAGCAAUGAGGAUAAUCCUAAGGUUACGGACCCAGUCCGUGUAGUUGCUACCAUCAUCUUUCAACUUAGCUUUCUCUAGGAACACAUUAAAAUUUAAGGGAACGGUAGCACGGGCCAUUGAUCUACAACAACAUAGACAUGCAAAAACUAUUAGGUACUAAGUUCAUGAUAAAUUAAAGUUCAAUUAAUCAUAUUACUUAAGAACUCCCACUUAGAUAGACAUCCCUCUAGUCAUCUGAAUGAUCACAUGAUCCAUAUCAACUAAACCAUGUCUGAUCAUCACGUGAGAUGGAGUAGUUUUCAAUGGUGAACAUCACUAUGUUGAUCAUAUCUACUAUAUGAUUCACGUUCGACCUUUCGGUCUUAGUGUUCCGAGGCCAUAUCUGCAUAUGCUAGGCUCGUCAAGUUUAACCCGAGUAUUCUGCUUGUGCAAAACUGGCUUGCACCCGUUGUAUGUGAACGUAGAGCUUAUCACACCCGAUCAUCACGUGGUGUCUCGGCACGACGAACUGUAGCAACGGGGCAUACUCAGGGAGAACACUUAUACCUUGAAAUUUAGUGAGGGAUCAUCUUAUAACGCUACCGCCGUACUAAGCAAAAUAAGAUGCAUAAAAGAUAAACAUCACAUGCAAUCAAUAUACGUGACAUGAUAUGGGCAUCAUCAUCUUGUGCCUUUGAUCUCCAUAUCCAAAGCACCGUCAUGAUCUCCAUCGUCACCGGCUUGACACCUUGAUCUCCAUCGUAGCAUUGUUGUCGUCUCGCCAACUAUUGCUUCUACGACUAUCGCUACCGCUUAGUGAUAAAUUAAAGCAAUUACAUGGCGAUUGCAUUUCAUACAAUAAAGCGACAACCAUAAGGCUCCUGCCAGUUGCCGAUAACUUCUACAAAACAUGAUCAUCUCAUACAACAAUUUAUAUCUCAUCACGUCUUGACCAUAUCACAUCACAACAUGACCUGCAAAAACAAGUUAGACGUCCUCUACAUUGUUGUUGCAAGUUUCUACGUGGCUGCUACGGGCUUCUAGCAAGAACCGUUCUUACCUACGCAUCAAAACCACAAUGAUUUUUCGUCAAGUGUGCUGUUUUGACCUUCAAGAAGGACCGGCCGUAGUCAAACUCGAUUCAACUAAAGUUGGAGAAACAGACACCUGCCAGCCACCUGUGUGCGAAGCACGUCGGUAGAACCAGUCUCAUGAACGCGGUCAUGUAAUGUCGGUCCGGGCCGCUUCAUCCAACAAUACCGCUGAAUCAAAGUAAGACGUUGGUGGUAAGCAGUAUGACUAUUAUCGCCCACAACUCAUUGUGUUCUACUCGUGCAUAUAUCAUCUAAGCAUAGACCUGACUCGGAUGCCACUGCUGGGGAACGUAGUAAUUCAAAAAAUUCCUAAGAUCAUGCAAGAUCUAUCUAGGACAUGCAUAGCAACGAGACGGGAGAGUGUGUCCAUGUACCCUCGUAGACCGAAAGCGGAAGCAUUUAGUAACGCAGUUGAUGUAGUCAAACGUCUUCACGAUCCAAGUACCGAACGUACGACACCUCCGUGUUCAGCACCACGUUCAGCAUGAUGACGUCCCUCGAACUCUUGAUCCAGUUGAGGACGAGGGAGAGUUCCGUCAGCACGACGGCGUGGCGAUGGUGAUGAUGAAGUUACCGGCGCAGGGCUUCGCCUAAGCACUAUGACGAUAUGACCGCGGUGUUAAACUGUGGAGGGGGGCACCGUACACGGCUAAGAGAUUGUCUAUUGUACUUUGGGGUGCCCCCCUGCCCACGUAUAUAAAGGAGGGGGGAGGAGGAGGCCGGCCAAGGGGGAGGCGCACCAGGGGGGGAGUCCUACUAGGACUCCAAACCUAGUAGGAUUCGGCCCCUCUUUCCUUCCAACGGAGAGGGGGAAAGGGGAAAGGAGGGAGAGGGAGAAGGAAAGAGGGGGGCCGCGCCCCCUCCCCUUGUCCAAUUCAGAUUGGGGCAAGGGGGGCACGCCCCACCUCCUGUGGCCUGCCUCUUCUCCUCCACUAUGGCCCAUUAGGCCCAGUAACUUUCCCGGGGGGUUCCGAUAGCCUCCCGGUACUCUGAUAAAUCCCUGAACCUUAUGGGAACCAUUCCGAUGUCCUUAUAUAACCUUCCAAUAUAUCAAUCUUUACCUCUCGACCAUUUCGAGACUCCUAGUCAUGUCCGUGGUCUCAUCUGGGACUCCGAACAAACUUCGGUCAUCAAAUCACAUAACUCAUAAUACAAAUCGACAUCGAACGUUAAGCGUGCGGACCCUACGGGUUCGAGAACUAUGUAGACAUGACCGAGACACAUCUCUAGUCAAUAAACAAUAGCGGAACCUGGAUGCUCAUAUUGUCUCCUACAUAUUCUACGAAGAUCUUUAUCGGUCAAACCGCAUAACAACAUACGUCAUUCCCUUUGUCAUCGGUAUGUUACUUGCCCGAGAUUCGAUCGUCGGUAUCUUCAUACCUAGUUCAAUAUCGUUACCGGCAAGUCUCUUUACUCGUUCCGUAAUGCAUCAUCCCGUAACUAACUCAUUAGUCACAUUGCUUGCAAGGCUUAUAGUGAUGUGCAUUACCGAGAGGGCCCAGAGAUACCUCUCUGAUACUCGGAGUGACAAAUCCUAAUCUUGAUCUAUGCCAACUCAACAAACACCAUCGGAGACACCUGUAGAGCAUCUUUAUAAUCACCCAGUUACGUUGUGACGUUUGCUAGCACACAAAGUGUUCCUCCGGUGUUCGGAAGUUGUGUAAUCUCAUAGUCAGAGGAAUAUGUAUAAGUCAUGAAGAAAGCAAUAGCAAUAGCAAUAAAACUAAACGAUCAUAAUGCUAAGCUAAUAGAUGGGUCUUGUCCAUCACAUCAUUCUCUAAUGAUGUGAUCCUGUUGAUCAAAUGACAACAUAUGUCUAUGGUCAGGAAACUUAACCAUCUUUGAUUAACGAGCUAGUCAAGUAGAGGCAUACUAGGGACACUCUGUUUGUCUAUGUAUUCACACAUGUACUAAGUUUCCGGUUAAUACAAUUCUAGCAUGAAUAAUAAACAUUUAUCAUGAUAUAAGGAAAUAUAAAUAACAACUUUAUUAUUGCCUCUAGGGCAUAUUUCCUUCAUCCUCAUCGUCCCGAUUAACAUCAGGUAUGUCCUGCACAUAGAAACAUUGUAAACAAACUGUUAGAGGAUAAUAUAUGAUAUCAUUGUAAAUGCAUUAAAAUGUAAACAUGACUACCUGAUCAGAUCCCUCGCGUGUACUGUAUGGACAUUGUACGUGGUACUGAUUUAAAUCUGGGACACGAGUCUCCUCGGGCAUGGAGAUCCCUCGUGUGGAGAGAUACGACUGAGAUCCCUCACCUUGGGUGUAUGCACCAUAUCCUGUGUACGCAUAUGGGUUCGGGGAAAGAGUCUGCUCGGGCAUCUAAUCGAAACCCGUGCCAUGGUCCUGAGAUGUCUGCCCCUGACGAAGCUGCACCGAAGAAGAGCGAUGCAGGGGCAGAGAUGAGUCAUGUCGAGGCAAUGUCAUUGUAGUACUCGGACCCUCCCCCUACUGCGCAUGGCUCGUACGCGCCUUGCUUGGUCUGGACGACGGCGCUGCACUCGGUCUGGCUGACCUCGCUACCGACAUGUUGUACGCUCCAGUGACAACGUCGUCGCCUCUACCGCAUCUGAACUUUGUUGUCACGUAGUCUUGAAGACGUUUGUGCAAUGACUUGCGAGCUGGGCCCGGGCCUGCAUGCAUCCCGUCGCCAUCUGCCCUACUUCGUUGCAAGUUUCAAGCUAAACAAUAUUUGGUUGUUAUUUGGUUGAAAUGAUUAUGAAAUGAUGGACCUAAAAAAGUUACUAGUGAUUACCAGCUGGUCACGAUAGAAAGCUGCAUGCAGCUCAACCUGUCUCUGCAUCUGCUCCUCUUGUGUGAGAUGUGUUGGUAUCGUAGCUGGUUGGCUGGCCAGGCUAGUACGCGUGCUGAUGCAGUACCACUGCUUGUACGCUUGAGCUGUACUUCCAUCGUACGGUCUGCGAAAUUAAAUAAUUACAUCAACCGUUGUGAUGAAAGCAAAGCAUCUUCACGCAUCAUAUGGUCAUCGUAAUAAAAUAAUGUAAACAAAAUGUACCUAAGUUGAUGCACUAUAUCUGCUAGCGCUUCAUUUUCCCACUUGUGUACCAAUUAAAUGAUGCGUUCCUUCCAAUUGUAACAACUCCAACCCUUGCCCAUAUUGGUUAGCCUGCAAAUUAUGUAACAAAGUGUGAGUUUAGUAAAUUAAAAAAUACACUAACUAUUUAGGGAGGUCACAUCUUACUUAUGGGUUUCCUCGUCGACACAUCUUGGAAAAGGUGGUGGAAUCUCUUGAUAGAGACCGAACUGUCUCAUGGCACACUCUGGGUUGUAAGGCUCAACACACCACAGGAACAAUAAGUUGCAGCGAGUCAGCCAGAAUGCACUACCGCUCAAGAUGCUUGCUGUGAUGGAUCAUAUAUCAAAGACCAUUUGUAUCUGCUCCCGAGUCCACGGGUUCCAUGUGACUUCUGACUCAUCAAGUAUCUCAAACUGCUGGUGGUAUAUAGGGUAACAAUUCUUCGCAAUAUUUGGAGACCAUUGUUUCCGUGCCUUUGUCCACCUGGUGGCCAUAGUUACAUUGUUUCCCUCGCUACAGUCGUAUGGGUGUAUGUUAUUUAGUAUACGAGGUCGUCCUACAGGGAGGUAUUCCCAGGACCACAACUGUAGAAACUCGUAGGCGAUACAAAGUAAUGGAGCUAUUUGUGUGAAAGAAGUUUUUUGUGUGGCAUCACACAAGCCUCUAUAUGUAUGACAUAGCAUGGCAGAACCGAAGCUGUAUUUUGGUUGCUCGGGUAAAGGUUCAUCUACCAUAUUCUCUACAAUGUAGAUGAGACCAGGGAGAACUACGUCCCCGUGUGAAUUUGGAAACAGAGUCCCGAGGAGCCACAACAAAUACGCAAACAGAUGUCUUUUUCUCGUCUCAGAAUCAGCGUGGCUAGAUAAAAUAUGAAAUUUAUCACGAAGCCAGGCGAGUGGGAUGCCCCGAGGGCCACCAGAAUGUUGUGAUUCUGGCAUUGCCAUCCCAAGACGGGCUGAUAUAUUUAAUGUCCAAGAUGGAGACACUCGUGGAGAGACUAACGACUCACCUCUAAUUGGUAGAGCAGUGAUCAUAGAAACAUCUUUCAGUGUAGGUGCAAGCGCCCCAAAACGAAAGUGAAAGGUGUGGGUUUCAGGUCUUCACCGGUCAACGAGGGAUGUCAAAAGGGAUGGGUCCAAACGUAAUUGGUCUUCGCAUGAUGUGAGCCUAGCAAAACCAUGUAGUCCAUAAGCGUCAAGGUGAGCAAGGAAAGAAUUGUGUAUUGGCCAUGUUUUCUUUAUGGUUCAAAGUCUGAAAGUUCGAUAAUCAUGAUUAUGAUUUGGGUUGAAAAAUAGGUGGCAACGGUGGCCGGCGUCAUGGGGCCCAUGCAAAAGCACUGGCACUUCAGCCAUAAUCUACACACAAACAUACAAAUAAAAUUUAUGUGGAAGACACAAAUACAAAGAGAUACAAUUUACAUUGAUUAUCUAAAGUUAACAUCACGAGUAAAAUAAUACAAGGAGAUUCAAUUUAAAUUAAAUAUAAGUACACAUAACGAGUACAGAUAUAAGUAGACAACACGAGUACAGAUAUAUCAACAUCAUUCGGUGUUGUUGGCUCGAUGCGGGCAUUCCCUACGUGAAUGUCCAGGACACAUGCAGACGCGGCAUCGCCUUGGUUCUCUCAUCUGGCUAUGGUCCAUGUCAUUGCGAUGACGCCUAGACUGACGUCGUCCCUUGGCGGUUCUCAUCAAGUCGGCGUUCGGAACCCAUUUCGGCCCAUCUGGCCACAUCAUUUUGUAGUUCAUAUCAAUGCCUCAGGCCCAAAACUCACCGUUUCAAGUGUUGUACAGAUUGUACAUGUUGAAGUACGACGAUAUGUAUGGCUCGACACUGAUUUUUUGAUCUGCAGUCGCUCGGAGCACAUGACUGCAAGGGUAGCCCUCAAGCUUGGGCUUGUUACAAGUGCACUCACAGGACGUUGGGCCGAGGGUGACAACUUGCUUUUUUGAUCCUCUGUGAUGACCCUUAACGUACUUGGCUCACAUUGACCUCCCACUUAUUCCUAAGUGCGUCCACUUUCCUGCAGCCAUGACUUUGGGACUUCUUUGCUUUCUCGUUCAAAUGUCUUUGUAUCUUCUCGGAUCAUGGCUUGUUCAAUUCAACAGGUUUUGACAAAACCGAGGGUAAUUACUCGCUAUCCAAACAACCACUAAACAUAGUAGUAUGAUAAUAACAUUUUAAUAUCAUAUGAGUAAAACAUUUAAUAUCUUCCGGUUUUAUAUAAUUUUUUCAUAUCACACGAUAAUAACGAUAAUAAUCAUUUAUUUACAAAUAAUAAUAUUCGCAGUGGCAUGCACAUUAUUCACAACAGUACAUCAAUAUAAAAAAUAUUAACAAAAUUACGGCGUCGUUUAUACCUCAGCUCCAAUAUGGAUGUGCUUGCGAAUGCAAUUAAGCGUCAAAAUAGUUCGAAUAAAUAUCCGUCACCAGUAUUAUAUGAAAGGAGUCAACCUAUUAUCACAUGAACAUUAAUAUUACACACGGCUUUUUCUUUCUGCUAUCAAAAGUAUGAAAAUAGCACUUGCAUGUAUGUGGUCAUCCUCAAAAGGGACAGCGAAGAUGGAAACACAAUUUCUUCAAUCACGUCAUCUCCUCCUUGUUUGCUACUAAGAUGAAUUAUUUUACCUAAUUACAUACAUCAUUAAGUACAUUAGCAUGUAAUCUUAACAUAGAAAAUUUAGAUUAUUGUGACAUAACAAAGUAGACCUACGGUUUCCUAACUAUAGACUUAUUAAUAAACAUACCACAUGAAAUAACAUACCACAUGUAAUGAACAGUUACAGUAUAAUUUUUUUCUUAAUUACCGUAUUAAGAUCUUCUCGCAUGUCAAUACUAAUGGACGCAACUAACAUUGAUACAACAUCUUCAACCUACUCUUCUCAAAAAAUAGUAUAAAUGCAACAUAUGUCGUUUGAAAUUAUUUCUAACUUCCAAUCACUAACAUCGCAUAGCUAAUACCGUGCUAAAAGACUAACUAAUUACCACUGUGCAUGCACACACAAAAUUCAUAUAUUGCAAAGCUCAUACCUCGAUCUUCCCCUUCGUACUUCACUUUGCACGGCAAAUCCUACUCCAGAAACUCCAAAUGACUCCUCCAAGUGCUGAAAUAAUGCCUAAAACAGUAGAGAAUACACACUUAGGAACUAAUCAAACAGAACAAAAACAUCAUGCAUGCGAACGAAACCAACAAAAGUGGAUAGAUCUUACCUUAAUCUAUCUUUUCUUCAACUUCACCAUCUUCGAAAUCCAACUCUAAAUCGGCCAAAAUCACGAGUGAAAGUGGCUACCAAGUUUUUCUUUCUGUGUAUUCUUGUAGACUUAGAGAGAGCAGAGGGGCAGAGAAGCCAACCAGAGAUAUUCGAGAGAGUGUAUGCGCACGGAGCUGCGGUUGUGCGUAUAAAAAGAAGAGGAGCACCGUAUUGUCGGCAAAACGAGCCAGAACUCACCUACCGCGGCCUCGGAUUCCAGCAUCGUGUUGUCUCAUCACACGCAGCAACAACAACGCUCUUGGGUGUGCGGCAGGAAAUCACGCGUUGAAAUCAGCACGCCUGAGUGUUGUUGCUUCGGCUGUAGCAAUAGACGGAAGCGGGAAUCACGCAGUGCUUUAAUCAGUGUCGUCUACGUAGGAAUCAAUGCGAGUGCAUACAAGACAGUGGCAAAAGCCAGCUCCCGGGCAGCAGCGAAUCAUCGCGAAUAAAGAAAUAAAAGGCGCAGAUUCCCGCCCGUGAAAAUGAUCGUCGCGUGGGAAUCAGCGCCGUCUGCGCGGGAAUCAGUGCCGUGUGCAAACUGUAGCGCGUGCAGUAGCAACAGAGGAGUCGCUUGCUGUGGUGGCGGCGUGGCCCACCUGCUGGGCCCGCGUGCAGCAAGACUUGCCGGUCUGGGAGCGGCAGGGCCAGCGUUGGCCGCCUCGUCUAGUGGCGGCAGGGUCCACCUGGCCCGACCCGUUCCGUCCCAGCGUGAGGCGCUGUACCACUCCUGUUUUACCUGGGCGGCCGCCUCCUGCCGUGGCGGCAGGUGCCAUGUGUCGCCUACCACGCCUGCCGCCACGGCUGAGGGGGUUCUUUUUAUCAAUUUCGUCCACAGGGGUCUCUUUUGACAAUUCCAGUGGGCAGAAGGUCUCGUUCGACAAAAAAAUCCAGCUCACACGCCCUGUCCUCUGCGUGGACGCAGCUUCGGUGCCUUAAAGGCACCUGCCUUUGGGUCACAGACAUGUGGGCCAGCCACCUGUUGGACCCACAUGUCAUAGACACAAAGGUAGGUGCCUUAAUGCACGGAAGCAUCGUCCCCUCUGCGCGCGCCUCCCGACAGCUCACGCGCCAGAGUGUCCCGCAUCCGCCGCCGGUCACCCUCCUCCUCCUCCUCCUCCUCUACCUAGCCGACGUCCGGCUUCCGCCUCCGCUGCUCCUCCACUUCAUCACGCUGAUGUCCAGCAUCCACCUCCGCCACUGCUCCACUAUGCCCAUGUCCCACGUCUGCCUCCGCCGCCGCCUUUCCUCAUCCUCCUCCUCCUUCUCCAACUGCACCUCGCCGCCCUCACCACCCUGGUCUCCCCACGCCGCAUUUGCCGCGGCCACAGAGCGUGUACGAGCCAGGACGCUCAGCCCGGAAGACGCACACCACCUGUUCGACGUAUUGUUUCAGCAGGCCACUCCGGUCCCCGAGCGCUCCCUUGAUGGAUUCCUUGCAGCACUCAGCCGCGCUACGCCCUCUGAAGCCUGCGGAGACGGCCCCGCCCUCGCCCUCACCCUCUUCAACCGUGUCUGCCGAGAAGAAGCCGGGAUGCAGGUGGUGCCGCCCACCAUCUUCACCUACGGCAUCCUCAUGAACUGCUGCUGCCGCGAACGUCGUCCGGACCUAGGGCUUGCCUUCUUUGGGCGCAUCCUCAAGGCUGGCCUGAAGACAAACCUGAUCACCGCCAACACCGUCCUCAAGUGCCUCUACUGCGCAAAACAUACCGACGAGGCUGUCGAUAUGCUGCUUCAUAGGAUGUCCGACCUUGGCUGUGUGCCUGAUGACUUCUCAUACAACACAGUUCUCCACGGCUUCUUUAAGGAAGGAAAAAUAGGCAAGGCCUGCAAUCUAUUCCAUGAAAUGAUGCUGCAAGGGUUUGUCCCUGAUGUGGUGACAUAUAACUUGAUUAUUGAAGCAUUGUGCAAGGCCCGAGCAAUGGACAAUGCAGAGUUGUUCCUACGGCAGAUGGUUGAUAACGUUGUUCCACCGGAUAAAGUGACAUAUACUAGCAUGAUCCAUGGAUAUUCCACUUUGGGCCGGUGGAAAGAGGCGACUAAAAUGUUCAGAGAGAUGACAAGCAGGGGUCUUAUACCUAAUAUUGUCACAUGGAGCUCGUUCAUGGACUCCCUUUGCAAGCAUGGGAAAAGCAAAGAAGCUGCAGAAAUUUUCUUUUCCAUGGCUGGAAAGGGCCAUAAGCCUAAUAUCGUCUCCUAGGCUAUUCUUCUUCAUGGGUAUGCCAAUGAAGGAAGCUUUGGUGAUAUGAUGAGUCUCUUUAAUUCAAUGGAAGGCGAUGGUAUUGUAGCCAACUCUUAUGUUUUCAACAUAUUAAUUAAUGCAUAUGCUAAAGGAGGAAUGAUGGAUGAAGCUAUGCUCAUACUUACUGAAAUGCGGGGACAAGGACUGAGUCCGGAUGUAUUCACCUAUUCAACUCUGGUAUCUGCAUUUUGCAGAAUGGGUAGGCUAGCUGAUGCUAUGGAUAAGUUCAGUCAGAUGAUUGGUACGGGAGUACAACCAAACACAGUUGUUUAUCAUUCCCUAGUUCAGGGCUUAUGUACACAUGGUGAUUUGGUGAAAGCAAAGGAGUUGAUUUCUGAAAUGAUGAAUAAAGGUAUGAUUCGUCCAAACAUUGCAUUCUUCAAUUCAAUAAUGGACAGUCUAUGCAAUGAAGGAAGGGUUGUGGAUGCACACCAUAUCUUUGACUUGGUUACAGACAUAGGUGAGAAACCUGAUGUCAUUACAUUUAGUACGCUAAUUGACGGAUAUUGCUUAGUCGGUGAGAUGGAGAAAGCAUGCCGAGUAUUUGAUGCCAUGGUAUCAGCUGGCAUUGAGCCUGAUGUCAUUACGUAUAGUACACUUGUCAGUGGGUAUUGUAAAAGUGGAAGGAUCGAUGAUGGGUUGAUUCUGUUCAGAGAAAUGUUGCAUAAGGAAGUUAAACCUACAACUGUUACAUAUGGCACCGUACUGGAUGGGUUAUUUCGUGCUUGGAGAUCUGCUGCUGCAAAGAAAGUGUUCCAUGAGAUGAUCGAAAGUGGAAUAAUGGUGAGCAUUUCUAUAUAUAAUAUAAUUCUUGGAGGACUUUGUAGAAAUAAUUGCGCAGAUGAAGCGAUCGUCCUAUUCCAGAAAUUGUGUGCAAUGAAUGUGAAGUUCAAUAUCACAACACUCAAUAUCAUGCUUAAUGCAUUCUACAAGGUUCAAAGAAGAGAUGAAGCUAGUGAUUUGUUCGCUGCAUUACCAGCCAGUGGGUUGGUGCCUAAUGCUUCUACUUAUGGAGUAAUGAUUCAAAAUCUUCUAAAAGAAGGAGCGGUGGAAGAAGCUGACAGUAUGUUCUCAUCAAUGGAGAAGAGUGGUUGUGCUCCUAGCUCUCGUUUUUCAAAUUGUAUCAUCAGAACGUUAUUGGAACAGGGGGAGAUAGUCAAGGCUGGGAAAUAUAUGUCUAAAGUUGAUGGGAAGACUUUUUUGCUUGAAGCUUCAACUACUUCAUUGCUGAUGUCCCUCUUUUCAAGGGGAGGCAAAUAUCAGGAGCACAUACUCUUGCUCCCUGCAAAGUAUCAAUUUUUCAGUGGAGUGAACCACAGUUGAGUACUUGAUACAUUGUUUAUGAUCUUAAAUGCUCAGAGGGUACAGUUGAGUUGUUGGUAUAAGAAAUGCAAGUUACCUGCUUGUGGAAAGUCGGUCCUUCAUUAUUUCAUUGACUGCAUCUUUUGGUGUGUUGAAACCGCUAGAAUGUGAAGUAUCUGUGAAUCUUUUAAUCUUUGUUGGACGAGGAAAGGUGGACUGAGUUAUCUAACUCAAAUGGUUGCAAUUUCUGGAAUAACGGUUUUUGCUUGCCAACAGGGAAGGUAUCGAUAUGUGUUCUUUCUAGAAGAAGCGCAAUGAAUACAAAUGCAAUCUUUUGUAACAUAAAUUUUUAACCGAAAUCUGUAGGGAAGGCCUUUAUUGAAAAACAAGCAGAUGGGUGUACAAGAUCAGAGGAGAAUCUGCAAAGCAAGAGGGGCGAAAGAACAGAGCUAAACAGGAUCCCCAGCCCAGCAACCCUCCCCUCCAAACGAAGAUACGUGCCACCUUUGAAAAUGGAGCCAGAGGCUGCAGAUCUGAACUAAGCAACAAGCUGAUCUGAACUAAACAGCAGGCUUGAACACAUCGCUUGACACGAGGAAUAUCCAAUUUGUUAUAAAACUUGUGCAGAAACUUCAGUACAAGCUCAUUGAUUGAAAAGUUGAUAAUAACUAAGCUCCCACGGUUUUUGGGUAAGCAAACCUUAACACAAGCUGAAUUUAAUUAUGUCUUUGGGUAAGCAAACCUUUGUAUAAGUUUGGCUGUAGCCAUUUCGUAGCAGAAUUUGAUGUAUAGUUUAAGGGCCUGUUCGGUAGUUCCCUAGCUUCCAGAUCCACGAAAUCCACGAUGGAUUUGGACCGAACAGUCCGGCUCCUGGAAGCUGGCUUCUCAGAUCUGAUGCGGUUCUACGUAUAAAAAGCUGGAGCAGCGUCUUGGGUGAUCCCAGGAAAAACGAGAUCUGGAGUUAGCCGAAUUUACGAACGAAUGCCACCGCUAAGUGACUCGAGGGGCACAUACCGGUUCGUUAUAUUGUCUCCCCACUCUCCCCAUAUGUUGAAUGGGCCACCUUACCUCACUAACGGGCCAACUUCUCUCCUUCUUGGGCUGACGGCCUGUAUAAAAAAAUAGAAGCCGGAUCGAUCUCACCGAACGAUUUUCUUAGCGAUGCUCCGGCCGGUAGAAGCUGGAAGCUGGCAUGCGGAGCGGGAGUUGGAGAUUUUGCGAAGCUGGGCAACUACCGAACAGGCCCUUAGUGCAUCAUUUAAUUAUGGCCAUGGCUAUGCAAAAAAUGUUUCUAUGUAGUUAUUUGAUGUUUCUCUUGGCAAUGUUUACCUGUAAGAUUUAUGAAAGCUGUAGUAAUUUGACAUUGUUUGCAUACGAAUGGUUGCAGAAGAAGCAUGAUAGCAGGUUUCUCUUGUUGCCAACCUGUAGUUAGCAACUUAUUGCAAAUGCUCUGUUUGCUACAGAUUUAGAGGUCAUUCUGUUGCUAGUUAUAAGGGGUUCAGUAUUUUUUUUUCUUUGUUCCUUUAUGUCUAUAUGAACAGAUUUUCUAAGAACUUAAGCAGACAGUUACAUGUAUGGGGAAAUAACAUAGACCCAUGUUCUGUUCCUAUUCUAGUAUUCUGUAAGAACGAAAUUACUUUACCAUUGUGAAGAAAGUAGCAAUAUAAAGCUUCAGAUGAUGAUGGUAUUAAGCACUGAUCUACCUUAGCCCCAAAUUUCUUCCUUUUUGUAAGGGAAUGCUCCAUUUCUUCCUCUCCAGGACACCAAAUUUUCAUUGAAGCAAGAAUUAUUGAUCUUGUGUCUUCUGCCAAGUUCUAACCUUACCUAAAAAGGGGGAAAUAUAUCCAGGCUGCUACUAAGACUAAAAGGAGUUCUUUUAAGAUGAUAGAUAAAUAAAUAAAUAUGGGAGGUCUUUUGAGAGCCAGAAAAGUCCAGUUGCUACUUUUGUUCCUCAACACAGUCAAUCAAGCAAUAUAUCUAAGCGAACUUUAAAUGUAGUAGCUAGCUAUUGGUUGUUGCCAAGUCCAUCCAAGCAACAUGGUGCAAUAUCGGAACAGUCAACUUUUUUAUGGCUGAGCUUUAUUUAUUUAGUUAUAAAUUGAUUCACAUUGAGAAGUAUCUUUUAUCUUUUCUUGAUUUGUAUAAUUGUAUUGCUGUUGCAGGUGGACAUGUUGCCGCCGCCGUUGGGCAAGGGUGGCGAGUGCCGGCCUUCCUUCGCCGACAACCUCCUCCUUGCCUUUUUGCGGGCCAGGAUGGUGCUGGUGUGCUCCAUCGAUCGACCCGUCUCUUUUCUCUCUCUGCUUAGCUGCCUAUAUCUUCUCCACCAUGUAAGUGAUAUUUUUUCCGUCUUACUAAAAUAGCCAAUUACUAGCAGAGAUAAAUGGUUUUUGAUGUGGUUGGCUACAGAAGUGAUGACAUGAUAUAGAUCUAGCAAUGCCGUACCGAGGAAGAAUCGUGAUGCAACAGUUUACUUCCAGAUGGUCAUGUACUAGCUAGUCUCAAUCGCAAUUCUGAGUCCCAUUCCACAAUUUUCUUUUGCUCGGAUUUGGAUAGUGUGAUGUAACUGUAAGCCAAGACUGAACCUCCACCCUUUUUACUGCUGUUUUGCUUGUUGCACCUCAUUGUGUCUGUACAUAAAAGUGCAUGAGGUUGGAUAAGAUUCUCAAAAGCCAGGACCCAGUUGGCUGAUCGGAGUUGCGAAUUGCUUCACCAUCAAGGGCAAGAGUGCUUUGUAUACUGAGCAAAUAGCUGUACGAAACUUCUCUUGUUCAUCUAUAAUCCUUCUUCUGCCAGAUUUGCAUAAUGUAGAAGCUAAAGUCAGUUAUCGUCUCUUUAUUUCCAUCCUUACAAGUUUCAGUUCUGGGUACUCUGGGCACUGUUCUCCCCUCUCUUGCUGGUCUUUCUCAAAACUCUUUUUAGCACCAGUUCUAAUAUAAUGGUUAGCUUCCUUGGAUGAUGGUCAGUGAGUUUAUUGCAAGCCAGGAAUGUUAUCCAAGUAAUACUUUCAAGACUUAGUGAGCUCCGUGCAGGGACCAAUUGUAGAAUUAACUUAUUGUAACUUAGCAUGAUCAGUGCGUUCUUCGUACUUGUGAUGCAUCUAUAUCGUGAAGCGAGAGCAAUCGCUUUCAUGGCAAUGGUUGAUGGGCAUAUGUUCCGUGAAUUCUGGUGACACUGCUAGAUGAAUUUGUUUUUUGGCCAAGCGGGGUAUCGACCCUUUUCCAUCUUAUAUUUCAGUUUUUUUUAGGAAAGGGAGAGCUUCAUUCAUAUCAGUAAGUCUGAGUUACUAUCAGAAGCAAUUACAUGCUUCGAAGCUUGUGGCACAUCAGCUAAUAGAAAGAAAUCCCCAUUCACUCUAGCAUAGGCAGCAAGCUCAUGCGCAGCCACAUUGCUCUCCCUAUGGACUUUGGAAACAGAACAAGCUCCAAACUCCUUGAUCAUAUCCUUAGAGUUCUCAUAACAAGCCCACCAGAUGGCCCGGCUAACAUUAAUAUCAUUCACAGCGGCCACUACAGCGAUGCAAUCGGUCUCCAUCUGCACUUUGUUCAAAUUCAGUUUACGAGCCUGGUUGAGGCCGAAAGAAAGGGCCUGGACUUCAGCUUCCUCGGCAUCCGAGCAUCCAUGAAAACGGCAACCAGCUGAGAAGACAAUAUCACCAAAACAAUCCCUGCCAACCGCUCCCAGCGCAGCCAGACAUUGAUCUUUAUGUGAUCCACGGGCGGCUUAGUCCAGCCAAGCACAUCAACAUGGGGAGGCAGGCUAGAAGACUGUAUAUUAACUCCAUGCAACUUUUGCUUCUCCUUCACAUCGUUUAUGUUAGGAAUAAGCAACUUAUAUUCCCAUGAGGCCAUAGGCCGAUAUAUAUACAUGUACAGGUGUGGUACCUAUGCAGGAAACCCCUUAUACUACGGGAUAAAUACAAAGGGGUAUACAUGACUUAUAUUAUAACUCUAACACCCCCCCUCAAACUCAUGGUGGAGGAACAACACUGAGUUUGGAGAGAUAAAAGCCAUGUUGUGCUCUAGUCUGGGCCUUCGUCAGGAAAUCCGCCAACUGUAACUCGGAAGGCACAUACUGAAGAGCAACGACCUGAUCCUGCACAGCAGCGCGCACAUAGAAAGCAUCAACACCAAUAUGCUUGGUGAGCUCAUGCUUCACAGGAUCGCGCGUAAUGCUAAUAGCACCUGUACUGUCAGAUAAGAGCAUAGUCGGUGUAGUGACAGAAACACCAAAGUCCUGAAGUAACCACCGUAACCAAGUCACCUCUGCCGUCAAAAGAGCCAUAGCUCGCAACUCAACCUCAGCACUCGAACGGGAAACUGCAAUCUGUUUCUUCGUCUUCCAGGCAAUGAGAGAACCGCCAAGAAAAACACAGUAAGCAGAAAGCGAACGGCGAUCAGAAGGAUCACUAGCCCACGUAGCAUCCGCAUAGGCCUGAAGCUGUAAAGAACUGGAGCUAGGAAAGAAUAGACGGUGAGAGAUCGUGCCCCGAAGAUAUCGGAGAAAACGAAGGAGAUGACUAUAAUGAACCGAUGUGGGAGCAGAAACAAACUGACUCAGAAUAUGAACCGGAUAAGAGAUGUCCGGACGAGUGACAGCUAGAUAGACAAGACUGCCAACGAGAUGACGAUAACGCGUCGGGUCAGGGAGAGGAUCACCAUCAGUAGCACGAAGGUGAACAUUGAGCUCCAUAGGAGUCUCAACAGUGCGCUCGUCAGAAAGAGCAGCACGAGCAAGAAGAUCCUGGAUAUACUUUUCCUGAGAUAUAAAAAAGCCAUCAGAGGUAGAAGAGACUUCAAUCCCAAGAAAAUAGCGAAGAGGUCCAAGAUCAGACAUAAGAAAUUGCUCACUAAGACGGGCCUUUACAAAGGCAAUAUACUCGGGGUCAUCCCCAGUGAUGACCAUAUCAUCAACAUAGAGAAGAAGAAGAGUCCGGCCACGAGGAGAAAGGUGAAUAAACAAUGCGGGAUCAUGAACACUUGCUGAAAAACCAGCAGUAGUGACCACAGAAGCAAAAACGCUCAAACCAGGCGCGAGGGGCUUGCUUAAGGCCAUAGAGAGAGCGACGAAGACGACACACCAUGCCAUCAGGAACAGAAUACCCAGGUGGUGGUUGCAUGUACACCUCCUCACGCAGCUCACCAUUAAGAAAGACAUUCUUAACAUCAAGCUGAGAUAUAGACCAGUGGCGUGCAGAGGCAACAGCAAGAAGUGUACGAAUAGUGGUCAUAUGGGCCACAGGAGCAAAAGUCUCGUCAUAAUCACGACCAUGCUCCUGCUGAAAACCACGAGCCACGAGACGAGCUUUGUGACGCUCAAGAGAACCAUCGGAGCGAGUCUUAACCUUGUAGACCCACUUACAAGUGAUGGGACGGACUCCGGGAGGAAGAGAAACAAGAUCCCAGGUACCAGUGCGCUCAAGAGCAGCAAUCUCCUCUGCCAUCGCAAACUGCCAUUCAGGAUGAACAACAGCCUGACGGUAAGAAGUCGGCUCAAGAACAGCAGCACUAGCGGUGGGAAAUCCAAAGCGAUCAAUAGGCGGACGAGGACAAGAACGCAAGCCAUAAGUAGGCUGAGAGGAAGAGGACGACUCAUCCAAGAAAGCAUCCACAGGCCGUGAACGACGAGUGUAAUGCUGAGGAAGAGAUGGAACAAGAGAAGGAGGAAUCGCCAAGGGAGAAUCAGGGGGAGGCGACGAAGAAGUCACCGGAGAUGAAGGUGUAGAAUCCGGUGACAUGCUAGGUGAGGAGACCGGGGAAGAUGGUGGCGAUGAAUCGACAAGGGGUGGAGAAGCAGAGGGAGUGGGACGAACAGGCACAGGCGCAACGGGAGUGAUAGGGGAGUCAGGAAAAGUGAGAAAAGAGAUAUCCUCCACGGAAAAGACCGAGGAAGAUGGGCGUGGGUAAAAAGGACGAGACUCAUCAAAAGUCACAUCUCGCGAGAUACGCAUCCGACGACCGACAGGAUCCCAACAACGAUAGCCCUUAUGCUCAUCACUGUAGCCUAAGAAGACACACUCAACAGACUGAGCGGUCAGUUUGGUGCGUUCGCGAGGGGCAAGAAGAACAUAGCAAACACAACCAAACAAGCGAAGCAUCGAAUAAUCGGGAGAGCGAUCAAACAGACGCUCAAAAGGAACACCACCCUGCAAAGCAGCAGAUGGCUGAAGGUUGAUGAGAUAGACAGAAGUGGAGAUAGCCUCGGCCCAAAAAUGAGGCGGAAGAGAGGCGGCGAUCAUCAUAGCACGAGCCGUCUCAAGAAGGUGACGAUGCUUGCGCUCAGACACACCAUUCUGAGCAUGAGCACCAGGACAAGAGAACUGGGCAAGAGUACCCUGCUCAGCAAGGACACCAUGCAACAUCUUAGAGAUAUACUCACCAGCGGAGUCAGCACGAAAAACACGAAUGGGUGAAGAGAACUGAGUAUGAACCAUGGCAGCAAAACGCUUAUAAAUAGACAACACCUCACUACGUGAAGUCAUGAAAUAAAGCCAUGUGUAACGAGAAAAAUCAUCGAUGAAAAUAAUAUAGUAUUUAUGACCACCUUUCGAAGGGAAAGGAGCCGGACCCCAUACAUCAGAAUGGACUAAAUCGAAAGGACGCUGAGACACUGACUCACUAUGAGAAUAUGGUAGCUGAAUCUGCUUGCCAAGACGACAACCCUGACACUCUAAAGAGACAUCUCCUGAGACAGACCCCAGAAGACCUCGACGAACUAAAGACGAUAAUCGAGAACCACACAGAUGACCAAGUCGAUGAUGCCACUGCUUGAAGGAACCAGUAACAGAAGCGACAGCAGCGGAGGAACUGGCGAUGGUGGUGGCAGCGGAAGGAACAUGAAGCCAGUCCAACUCCCAAAGACCCUGAGAAUCACGGCGGCGAGGGCCAGCCCCAACCAGAGUGUGCGUGCGACGAUCCUGAACAGAACAAGAGUCAACAUCAAGGAUGACACGACAACCAGAAUCAGUAAGUUGACCAGCAGAAAACAGAUUCAUGGUAAGUCGAGGAACAUGAGCAACAUCAGGAACAGAAUAAGAAGGAGUAGAAAGAUGGCCUCUACUAGCAACAGAAAGUGGAGUACCAUCAGCAGUGAAGACAUGAACAGGAGAAUCCAGCGAGCGAAGAGAAGACAAAGCGGAAGAAUGAGAAGACAUAUGAAAAGAAGCUCCAGAAUCCAGAACCCAUGGGGAUGUACCUGACUGUGUAGAGGGCGGGUGCUCAGUGCGGGAAGCAUCAGUCACAGAACCAGCAGUACCCGUCGAGGAAGAACUUGAAGCCGCGAGCAGACGCUUAAGUCUCAGAAUAUCCUGCUCGGUCAAAGCAAUGGCUGAAGCUGGCGAGGGAGAUGACGAAGUCCCUGAGGAGGAUGAUCGCGCCUUGCGCAGGUGUUUCCGCUUUGUGUAACACUGGGACUCAAUAUGACCAUCAUUGUUGCAGUAAUCACAAUGUGAACGGGGCCGACCUGAGCCUCCAGAAGGAGUGGGCAAGAGCGGCGGAGCACUCGAGCGAGAAUGGGGCGGUGCAGCAGGUGGAAUGGAAGAAGCCCGAGUAGCGAGCACCGAGGGAACCUCCAGCAAACCAGCACCGCGUAGGCGAGUCUCCUCAGCACGAAUCUCCGAAAGCGCCUCCAUGAGAGAAAUACGACCACGAGCAAGCAACUGAGCACGCCGGGGCUCAAAAUCCUUACGGAGCCGAGACAGGAACUCGUAGACGCGAUGAAACUCCAAAUCGGCCUGGACAGCCUGGCAGCAGGGGCAAGUACGACAACCAGCACUGCGGAGAGAAUCAAGCUGGCGCCAGAUAGCAGAACUCUGUGCAUAAAAGUCAUCAACAGUAGAGUCACCCUGCUGAAGAGCAUGCUCCUGACGAACCACAGACAGGUAUAAGGCAUCACCAGAGGGCUCAUAGCGCUGACGAAGACAGGUCCACAUCUGGAAGACAGUAGGAAGACCCAGAAACUCAGAAGCAAACUAAGGCAGAACACUAGCAGUGAGAACAACGGCAGCACGAGCAUCAUCAUCAAGCCACUGGGUGUAAACAGAGAAAGCACCAUGAUACGUCUGAAGAGCCUCCUCAUAAUCCAGAGCCCUCUCAUCAUAGGCACGAUCAGCAGCCUCAUCAGCAACCUUAGCCGCAUCCUUGGCGGCCUGAUUAGCAUCCGGAGGAAGAACCAAUGGAGUCAGCGGAGUAGGGGCCACCGGAGGAACCGGACGUGGCGGACAGCAGACCUCGCCAGAAAGAACACCCCAGAGACGGAUGCCACGCAUGUGAAUGCGCAUGAAGCCAGCGAACUUGGUGUAGUUAGUGCCGUCGAAGAUCACCGGACAGCGAGGGACAGCGACAUAGCCCGAUGCAGCAGACAUUUUUUUUUGGGAAUAAGAUCGAAAUCAGCAGAGGCCGAGCGGCAGGGGAUCUCGAUCGAAGCCGGCUAGGCAGGAGCAGACGGGCAGAGGACCGCGAGUCCUGGCGAGAACGGGCGAAGGCGGCGCCGAAGAGCUGGAGCGGCGGGAGCAACCGCGGAAGCUGGCGGACGGCAGGAGCGGCGGGAGCAACCGCGGAAGCUGGCGGGCGGCAGGAGUGGCGGGAGCGGUCGCCUGAGAGCGGGAUCGGCGCGGCGGGUGCUGCACCUGAGAGCGGGAUCGGCGAGGCGAGGCGGGAUCGAGGCGGGAGACCGAGGCCGGCUGCUGAACUGCGUUGGACGAGGAGGCCUUCGGGCGAGGAUGCGUUGGCCGGAUCGGAGCAGGGCAGCCGACGGGAUCGAGCACGAGUUGCGACGUGCAAAAAAAAGAAACCCUAGAGCUCUAAUACCAUGUUAGGAAUAAGCAACUUAUAUUCCCAUGAGGCCAUAGGCCGAUAUAUAUACAUGUACAGGUGUGGUACCUAUGCAGGAAACCCCUUAUACUACGGGAUAAAUACAAAGGGGUAUACAUGACUUAUAUUAUAACUCUAACAGUUUACAACCGGAUUUGGGCUGGAUAAGCACUCCAAAUAAUUCCUCGAGAAAAUCACAGAAUCUUGUACAGUAGCUUCACCUUUGUUGUGAACGACAUCAUCUCUAAGGUGCCAAGCCCUCCAAAGAACUAGCAUAAGCUUUUCCCUCAUCUCACCAUGGCAAAUACUCAAGCUUUGCAAAAGCCAAUCUGGGGAGAAGGGCAUGAAACAUGAUUGAUUUGUCUUUCGGCAGUUUCCAUAUUUUACUCAUUUCCUCACGAAGGGCUCUCUGUUUUGUGCAUACAACGGUAGCAUGAUGUGUGUUUUCAAUCGCAGCUCCACAUAAGUUGCAUAUACCAUCUAAUUCAAGAGUCCUCCUGUGCUUGUUGUCCUUCGUAGGGAGAGAAUCAAUGGCAGCCCUCCAGGUGAAGAUAUAGACUUUAUGAGGUAUCUUAUAUUUCAGUUUUGUCACUAAGACUAUCAGGUCAUAGAUAUGCAAUUAUAGAACCGUCUGGUGUUUGUUGAGAAUUGCAAAUAUUUUGGGAGAGCAAGUCCAUUGGUAUUCGUAUCACCACAUGCAAAUUACCAAUUCAGGUGAGUUUCAUUUCUAAUUAGUUCAGACUUUCUGUUUUUCUUUUAUUUUCAGGGACGCCUUUACUUCUCGAGCCCAAGGGGAUUGCGGAAUCAUUUAGCGAACUAGCAUGAUAUGAUUUGCCUACUGAGCCCGCAUAAGCAUUUAUGAUAUCUUCAAAACCUUCACUUCCUGUCCGAAUAUUAUCUAUCUUUCACAAUUAUGAUACCGGUUUAUGUAAAUUUGGCGACUAUAGCUGCCAGGCAUAGGAGGAAUUCAGGAAUGUAUACCAGCUAAAACAGAGUGUCGCGGACACACCAUAUUUUACCUUUUUUGCAACCAAAUGCCAUGAAGCACUGAUGGUUUUUUAUACGGCUUGUUUCGGUUUAACUUUUUUUGGAUUUUGUUUCUUUAUUUAAUGACCUUAAAGCAUCAUAGCUCUUGGACAUGUGCACAAACACGAGGCGGCACGUAGAGAUUGGCAGUAACAGGCCCACAUCUAUGCCCCCAGAAGUUUGAUCCCUUGCUUUUGAAUACCACGGAUUCAGAUUGUAAGAGUAUGAUUCAGCAAGGGUUCCCCUGCCUCAUCUGGGGUUACAAAGACCGAUAUGCUACACGCCGCAUGCAUACCUCAUGAAAAAACAUAGUUGGUGCUGGUAGCAUAUGCACCCAAUCUAAUAUACUUAUUGCCAGCUUUUUUUUGGGUUGCAUCAAAUUAGUAAACUUUUUCCUCCUGAGAAGACUAAGGCCAUAUAUUAAAGUCAUCCAACCCUUACAACACCAUCCUUACAAAAACAGAAAAUAACACAUGAUGUCCUUAGGUAUAUAGACGAUGUCCUCCUCCUCCACUUGUCAACAGAGCACCAUGAACAAAGAUCGAUGUCAUUUCUGGAUCUUUGGAACACCCUCUCAUAGCAGGCCAAUGUUCUUAACGCAGCGGCCAGGAAGUUGCUAGUCGGAGCGAGAAGAUGUCGGUGACAACAAACUGAGAAAGUCGUUGGUCGGAGCUAGAAGAUGUUGGCGACCGUGAACUGAGGAUCAGAUCACUAUAGCUAAGAAAAAGGCGAUGAAGAAAGCUGGACAAUCAACCGAAAUUUGAACAGUAAAUUUCAAAGAAAAAAACCAAAAAAAUGUUUCGAGUGAGUGGAAAUUUUCAUCAUGAAAUGACAUUCUUGGAAGUCAGGGCAAAAAAACAAAACAAAACAACACUCCAAAUGCAUUCAAGCAUUUUUGGAGCAUCAAUUUUUUUGCCACGACUUCCAAGAAUGUCAUUUCAUGAUGAUUUUUUGUAAACACACAAAACCUUUGUCAAAGUUUGCCAAAAAAAUUCAGAUAUUUUUAAUUUUUUUCCUUUCAAUUUUAUUGUUCACCAGGGAGUAUUUGUGUUCGGGGUCAGAUAGUUCGCAUCGGAAAAUCAUCCUAGAUCUCACGAGACAGAACUCUUGCCUCACUAGCUUCUUGGUGAAGCUUAUGUUGAUCAAGCUUCAUCGAAUGAAGAAGGAAACAGCAAAUCGAAACACGAACCAGCGCUAUCCACACUGUUAAGCAAUGCUGUCGAGACCACCUACAUGAAACCAAGACAAGUCAUGGACCCAUAUCUGGCCCUAACCAAAUCACGACAAGCCCUUUGUGGGCGUCAAAUAGCUUCACCGGAAUGAGAAAAUGUUUUUUUUGCGGAUAGGACCGAGAACAUGUUGAGGAGACCUUAUUCCACGCUGCCAACAAUGCCAUUGCCUUGCCACCUAAAAUAAGCCCUAGCCAAAACUAAAGGGACCCAAACAACAAGUCCAACCCCCAAAACUAGGUUUCCCGCACCUCACCGGCGCCGGCCAGAGGCGAGGUGAACUGGCAGCCGGCGACACGUGCAAGAAAACCAUAGUUGUCUUCUCAUUUUCUUGUAGAUAAUGACAUAUGAUUCUUUGAUUAAUCGUACUCCAUUGACAUAACAAAUAAGUGAAGCUUUGCACCUUUAGUCAAAAAUCUUAGAUCUAAACUACAAAUAUCAUUUCAAUUUUUUACAAUUUAAAUUUGAAAUCGUACAUAUAGAUUUGCCUCAAAAAAAAUUUGAGCUGCGGGAAAGUAUUUCUACAAUAUAGUAAUGUUCUUAGUUUUUAUAGGCAUAUUCAAUAAAAUUGGUGAUCGAUGUUAUGCAGUACACCCAUGGGAUUCUUCUUUCCAAUCUUGCAAGGUGACUAGGGAAAGCCUUCCUUCCCUCGAUCUCCUCUGUUGAGGGAUUCACCUCUCCUUCGCUUGCCGCUCCUGCGACUGGUGGCGGGGAGGAGAUUCUUGCUGUCUCGGCUCCGAUUAGUAGAUAGCUACUCCCUCUGUCCCAGAAUAUAAGAACGUUUUUGACACUAUGCUAGUGUUAAAAACGUUCUUAUAUUUUGGGAUGGAGGGAGUAGGAUUUAGUUUCUCACAGGGAUAGUGAUCGGGGGAUAAUGACGCUUCUUUUCCGAGUCAAUCUUUCAAGCUCCGAUCGUCCUCAAAUUCGUCCACUGGGAUGGAUUAGAUGGGGCUUCGCUGUAGAUUCCUACCAGCUCCUCCUCCGACGAGGUUAGCAUACCUCGUCAGGUUCUUUAGAUCGAUUUAAGGAUUCAACAAUGACGCAUGCAAGUCCGGGGUCCUGGUCCUUAGGGGCACGUGCAUAGACUUUUAGACUUUCAUUGAUAAGGUCAAGCCAGCUCCGGUAUGGAAGCGGCAACGACUUGCUCUGGCAGCGACAAUGGUCAUUCGGUGGUUCAUAUACCUCGAUAUAAUAUUCGAUAUCUUUAUAAUAGAUAUGAUCUUUAAAAAAACGCAAUACAAUCAUGUUAAUAUUCAAAAAUAAUACUCCCUCUGCCCCCAAAAUAAGUGUCUUUUGAUGGCGGCGGCGCCGCGCGGGUUGCAGCUCUGUCGGAGCCGGGGGCAAGAGUAUGUUGUUUCUGUAACAGAGCGUUUGUUGCGGGAAAUAACGAGUGGGCAUGCGGUCUUGUUUUCUGCAACAGAACGUUUGUUGCGGGAAGUACGAGUGGGCAUGCGGUCUUGUUUCUGCAAUAGAGCGUUUAUCGCGGGAUGUAACGAGUGGGCAUGUGGGGGCGUGGACGCUACAUCGGACGGCUAUCAGCUCAUGCAUCCAACGAUCGUCGAGGCGACGGUCUAAACAUCGGCCGGGCGAUUUAUUACAAGUUACUAGGACCACUAUUUUGGGACGGAGGAGGGAAUAUGUAUUUGUGAUAAAAAAAAAAAGAGUGGUAUACCUCCACAAGCAAAGCAAUACCGGAUCCUCCUCCAAACGGCUGACCAGUCCAGUCCCGUCCCGCCUCCCCCGCCGCUCGCCGAUGUCCAGCCUCCACCUCCUCCGCCACCGCUCCUCCUCCUUCACUCCCACCUCGCCGCCCUCACCCUCCUGGUCUCCGCACGCCGCCUUUACCGCUGCCACAGAGCGCGUCCGCGCCGGGACGCUCAGCCCGGAAGACGCACACCACCUGUUCGACCAAUUGCUACAGCAGUCCACUCCGGUCCCCGAGCAAGCCCUGAACGGCUUCCUUGCCGCCCUCACCCGUGCCCGUGCGCCAGACACCGAAGUCUGCAGAGACGGCCCCUCCCUUGCCCUCACGCUCUUCAACCGCGUAUGGCGAGAAGAAGCCGGCCGGCGGGUGGCGCUGCCCACAGUCCGCACCUACAACAUUCUGAUGAACUGCUGCUGCCGCGUGCGUCGUCCGGACCUAGGGCUUGCCUACUUCGGGCGCCUCCUAAGGACCAGCCUCAAAACAAAUGAGGUCGUCGCCAACACCGUCCUCAUGUGCCUCUGCUGCGCGAAACGGACAGAUGAAGCAGUAAACGUGCUGCUUCAUAGGAUGUCUGUGCUCGGCUGUGUGCCUGAUGAGUUCUCAUAUAACAUAGUUCUGAAGAGCUUAUGCAAAGAGGGAAGGAGCCAGCAAGCGCUCAACCUGCUCCAUGUGAUGGCAAAAGGAGAUGGUUGCUCCCCCGACGUGGUGGCUUAUAACACGGUCAUCUAUGGCUUCUUUAAGGAAGGUGAAGUAGGCAAGGCAUGCAAUCUAUUCCAUGAAAUGAUGCGGCAAGGGGUUGUGCCUGAUGUGGUGACGUAUAGCUCGAUUAUCGAUGCACUGUGCAAGGCUGGAGCAAUGGACAAGGCAGAGUUGUUCCUUCGGCAGAUGGUUGAUAACAGUGUUCAGCCGGAUACGGUGACAUAUACUAGCAUGAUCCAUGGAUAUUCCACUUUGGGCCGCUGGAAAGAGGCGACUAAAAUGUUAAGAGAAAUGACAAGCAGGGGCCUUAUACCAAAUAUUGUCACUUGGAACUCGUUCAUGGCCUCCCUUUGCAAGCAUGGAAAAAGCAAAGAAGCUGCAGAAAUUUUCUUUUCCAUGGCUGCAAGGGGCCACAAGCCUGAUAUCGUCUCCUACACUACUCUUCUUCAUGGGUAUGCCAAUGAAGGAAGCUUUGCUGAUAUGAUGAAACUCUUUAAUUCAAUGGUAGGCAACGGUAUUGUAGCCAACUGCCAAGUUUUCAACAUAUUAAUUGAUGCAUAUGCUCAACGAGGAAUGAUGGACGAAGCUAUGCUCAUAUUUACUGAAAUGCCAGGACAAGGAGUCAAUCCAAAUGUAGUCACCUAUUCAAUUGUGAUAGCUGCACUUUGCAGAAUGGGUAGGCUGGCUGAUGCAAUGAAUAAGUUCAGUGAGAUGAUUGGUACGGGAGUACAACCGAACAUAGUUGUUUAUCACUCCCUAGUUCAGGGCUUAUGUACACAUGGUGAUUUGGUGAAAGCGAAGGUGUUGAUUUCUGAAAUGAUGAAUAAAGGUAUUGCUCGUCCAAACAUUGCAUUCUUCAGUUCAAUAAUGGGCAGUCUAUGCAACGAAGGAAGGAUUAUGAAUGCACAUGAUAUCUUUGACUUGGUUACAGACAUAGGUGUGAAACCUGAUGUUAUAACAUUUAAUAUGCUGAUGGUCGGAUAUUGCUUAGUUGGCGAGAUGGAGAAAGCAUUCAAGGUACUUGAUGCCAUGGUAUCAGUUGGCAUUGAGCCUGAUGUUGUUACUUAUAGCUCACUUAUUAGUGGCUAUUGUAAGACUGGAAGGCUCGACGAUGGUGUUACACUAUUCAGAGAAAUGUUGCAUAAGAGAAUUAAACCUGACACUGUUUCCUAUAACACCAUACUGGAUGGGUUAUUUAAUGCUGGGAGAACUGCUGCUGCAAGGAAAAUGUUCCAUGAGAUGAUCGAAAGUGGAGUAAUGGUGAGCAUUUCUACAUAUAAUAUAAUUCUUGGAGGACUUUGUAGAAAUAAUUGCAUGGAUGAAGCGAUCGUCCUAUUCCGGAAAUUACGUGCAGUGAAUGUGAAGUUCAAUAUCACAACACUCAAUACCAUCAUCAAUGCAUUAUACAAUGUUCAAAGAAGAGAAGAAGCUCAUGAUUUGUUUGCUGCAUUACCAGCCAGCCGGCUGGUGCCUAAUGCUUCUACUUACAGAGUAAUGAUAGAUAAUCUUCUAAAAGAAGGAGCAGUGGAAGAAGCUGACAGUAUGUUCUCAUCAAUGGAGAAGAGUGGUUGUGCUCCUAGCUCUCAUUUUUUAAAUUAUAUCAUCAGAAUGUUAUUGGAAAAAGGGGAGAUAGUCAAGGCCGGAAAAUAUAUGUCUAAAGUUGAUGGGAAGAUUAUUUUGCUUGAAGCUUCAACUACUUCAUUGCUGAUGUCCCUCUUCUCAAGGGGAGGCAAAUACCAGGAGCACAUACUCUUGCUCCCUGCAAAAUAUCAUUUUUUCAGUGGAGUGAACCACAGUUGAGUACUUGAUACAUUGUUUAUGAUCUUAACUGCUCAGAAGGUACAGUUGAUUUGUUGCUUGCCAUCAGACCCUUGUGUUGGUAUAAGAAAUGCAAGUUACCUGCUUGUGGAAAGUAGGUCCUUCAUUCUUUCAUUGACUGCAUCUUCUUGUGUGUUGAAAUUGCUAGAAUGUGAAGUAUCUGUGAAUCUUCUAAUCUUUGUGGGACAACGAAAGGUGGACUGAGUUAUCUAAUUCAAAUGGUUGCAAUUUUUGGAAUAAUGGUUUUUGCUUGUGAACAGGGAAGGUAUCGACAUGUGUUCUUUCCAGAAGAAGCGCAAUGAAUACAAAUACAAUCUUUUGUGAAAUGAAUUUUUUAACCGAAAACUGUAAGGAAGGCCCCGAUGGUGAUUUUUUAUUUUAAAACAAGCAGUGGGUGUGCACAAGAUCAGAGGAGAAUGUGCAAAGCAAGAGGGGUCGAAAGAACAGAGCUAAACAGGAUCCCCAGCCCAGCAACCCUCCAAAAAAAAGAGAUGUGUCGCCUUUGAAAAUGGAGCAACAGGCUGAAGAUAUCAACUAAACUGCAAGCUUGAAAACAUCUCUACAUGAGAAGGAACCAACUAGCCUAGAGGCAUGGGGGGCAAAGUUUGGGUAGUACCUGCAAACAAGCUUCACAGAGUAAUAUCCAAUUUGUUGUAAAACUUGUGCAGAAACUUCAGUACAAGCUCAUCGAUGAAAAGUUGAUAAUAAAUAAGCCCCCACGGUUUUUGGGUAAGCAAACCUUAACACAAGCUGAACUUAAUUAUGUCUUUGGGUAAGCAAACCUUUGUAUAAGUUUGGCUUUGGCCAUUUCAUAGCAGAAUUUGAUGUGUAGUUCAGUGCAUCAUUUAAUUAUGUCCAUGGCUAUGCAAAAAAUGUUUCUAUGCAGUUAUUUGGUGUUUCUCUUGGCAAUGUUUACCUGUAAAGCUUUAUGAAAGCUGUAGUAAUUUGACAUCGUUUGCAUAGGAAUGGUUGCAGAAGAAACAUGAUAGCAGGUUUCUCUUGUUCCAUGCUUUGUUUGCUACAGAUUCAGAGGGUCAUCCUGUUGCGUUAUAAGGGGUUUAGUAUUUUUUUAUUUGUUCCUUUAUGUCUAUAUGAACAGAUUUUUACGUUUCUAAGAACUUAAGCAGACAGUUACAUGUAUGGGAAAAGAAAAGAUAACAUCGACCCAUGUUCUGUUCCUAUUCUAGUAUUCUGUAAGAAUGAAAUUACUGUACCAUUGUGAAGAAGGUAGCUGUAUAAAGCUUCAGGUGAUGAUGGUAUCACGCACUGAUCUACGCUAGCCCCAAAUUGCUUCCUUUUUGUAAGGGAAUGCUCCAUUUCUUCCUCUCCAGGACACCAAAUUUCCAUUGAAGCAACAAUUAUUGAUCUUGUGUCUUCUGCCAAGUUCUAACCUAACCUAAAAAGGGGGAAAUAUAUCCAGGCUGCUACUAAGACUAAAAGGAGUUCUUUUAUAAGAUGAUAAAUAAAUAAAUAAAUAUGGGAGAUCUUCUGAGAGCCAGAAAAGUCAAGUUGCUACUUUUGUUCCUCAACACAGUCAAUCAAGCAAUAUAUCUAAGCGAACUUUAAAUGUAGUAGCUAGUUAUUGGUUGUUGCCAAGUCCAUCCAAGCAACAUGGUGCAAUAUCGUAACAGUCAACUUUUUUAUGGCUGAGCUUUAUUUAUUUUGUUAAAUUGAUUCACAUUGGAAGUAUCUUUUAUCUUUUCUUGAUUUGUAUUGCUGUUGCAGGUGGACAUGUUGCCGCCGCGUUGGGCAAGGGUGGCGAGUGCCGGCCUUCCUUCGCCGACAACCUCCUCCUUGCCUUUUUGCGGGCCAGGAUGGUGCUGGUGUGCUCCAACGGUCAACCCGUCUCUUUUCUCUCUCUGCUUAGCUGCCUAUAUCUUCUCCACCAUGUAAGUGAUAUUUUUUCCGUCUUACUAAAAUAGUCAAUUACUAGCAGAGAUAAAUGGUUUUUGAUGUGGUUGGCUACAGAAGUGAUGAUAUGAUAUAGAUCUAGCAAUGCCGUACCGAGGAAGAAUCGUGAUGCAACAGUUUACUUCCAGAUGGUCAUGUACUAGCUAGUCUCAAUCGCAAUUCUGAGUCCCAUUCCACAAUUUUCUUUUGCUCGGAUUUGGAUAGUGUGAUGUAACUGUAAGCCAAGACUGAACCUCCACCCUUUUUACUGCUGUUUUGCUUGUUGCACCUCAUUGUGUCUGUUACAUAAAGGUGCAUGAGGUUGGAUGUGAUUCUCAAAAGCCAGGACCCAGUUGGCUGAUCGGAGUUACGAAUUGCUUCACCAUCAAGGGCAAGAGUGCUCUGUAUACUGAGCAAAUAGCUGUACGAAACUUCUCUUGUUCAUCUAUAAUCCUUCUUCUGCCAGAUUUGCAUAAUGUAGAAGCUAAAGUCAGUUAUCGUCUCUUUAUUUCCAUCCUUACAAGUUUCAGUUCUGGGUACUCUGGGCACUGUUCUCCCCUCUCUUGCUGGUCUUUCUCAAAACUCUUUUUAGCACCAGUUCUAAUAUAAUGGUUAGCUUCCUUGGAUGAUGGUCAGUGAGUUUAUUGCAAGUCAGGAAUGUUAUCCAAGUAAUACUUUCAAGACUUAGUGAGCUCCGUGCAGGGACCAAUUGUAGAAUUAACUUAUUGUAACUUAGCAUGAUCAGUGCGUUCUUCGUACUUGUGAUGCAUCUAUAUUGUGAAGCGAGAGCAAUCGCUUUCAUGGCAAAUGGUUGAUGGGCAUAUGUUCCGUGAAUUCUGGUGACACUGCUAGAUGAAUUUGUUUUUUUGCCAAGCGGGUUAUCGACCCUUUUCCAUCUUAUAUUUCAGUUUUGUCACUAAGACUAUCAGGUCAUAGAUAUGCAAUUUUAGAACUGUCUGGUGUUUGUUGAGAGUUGCAAAUAUUUUGGGAGAGCAAGUCCAUUGGUAUUCGUAUCAACACAUGCAAACUACCAAUUCAGGUGAGUUCAUUUCUAAUUAGUUCAGACUUCCUGUUUUUCUUUUAUUUCCAGGGACGCCUUUACUUCUCGAGCCCAAGGGGAUUGCGGAAUCAUUUUAGCGAACUAGCAUGGUAUGAUUUGCCUACUGAACCCACAUAAGCAUUUAUGAUAUCUUCAAAACCUUCACUUCCUGUCCGAAUAUUAUCUAUCUUUCACAAUUAUGAUAUCGGUUUAUGUAAAUUUGACGACUAUAGCUGUCAGGCAUAGGAGGAAUUCAGGAAUGUAUACCAGCUAAAACAGUGUUGCGGACACACCAUAUUUUACCCUUUUCUGCAACCAAAUGCCAUGAAGCACUGAUGGUUUUUUAUAUGGCUUGUUUCAGUUUAACUUUUAUUUUUUUGGAUUUUGUUUUUUAUCUAUUGACCUAAAGCAUCAUAGCUCUUGGACAUGUGCACAAACACGAGGCGGCACGGAGAGAUUGGCAGUAACAGGCCCAGAUCUAUGGCCCCCGAAGUUUGAUACCUUGCUUUUGAAUACCACGGAUUCAGCUUGUAAGAGUAUGAUUCAGCAAGGGUUCCCCUGCCUCAUCUGGGGCUACAAAGACUUAUGCUACACUAGUAUGAUCAUACAAAGCCUGUUGCACCUUUACACGCCGCGUGCAUACCCCAUGAAAAAAACAUAGUUGGUGCUGGAAGCAUAUGCACCCAAUCUAAUAUGGAAAACUCUUUACUUAGACCGACUGAUUUUUGUCUAUUGCAAACCUCCCCGCGAGCCGUCCGAUCAAGUUUGAUCGUGCGGCGCUGGCGUCUCUCUCUCGCAUCAUGGACACAAUCUCGUUGGUUCGACCACGCCGCAACCACGCGGUGUCUCACGAACAAGAAAGCAGAGGCGUCAGAUCUAGCAGCAGCUGAUGCGAGAGGCGACGCGUCGGCGAGCAUCUGGAGCAGCAAAGCCAUGGCGACGACAGGGAAGUGGAGGCGUGGUGACGACAGAGCAUCGACCGACGCUCUGCCGCACAGGUAUUUCACACCCGCCCCAAAUCGAGCUGAAAUGGUAAGGUAUCGGUUCAAAAUUAGGGGUAGACAUGCGGGGGCUCGACGAGCGGCCCUCUUGGGGCGGAGGGGGACCUGAUGGCGCGGCGAUUGUAGGGCGGAGGGGCUCGUCGGGACCGUUUAGAUCAGGNNNNNNNNNNNNNNNNNNNNNNNNNNNNNNNNNNNNNNNNNNNNNNNNNNNNNNNNNNNNNNNNNNNNNNNNNNNNNNNNNNNNNNNNNNNNNNNNNNNNNNNNNNNNNNNNNNNNNNNNNNNNNNNNNNNNNNNNNNNNNNNNNNNNNNNNNNNNNNNNNNNNNNNNNNNNNNNNNNNNNNNNNNNNNNNNNNNNNNNNNNNNNNNNNNNNNNNNNNNNNNNNNNNNNNNNGCGUGUGUGGCGGAUUUGAUUCGUUUCAGAUAAGGAAUCCACAGCCAGCGCAGCAAUCCCCUGCGGCAGGGGGUGUGAUCUGGGGUUUCACAGCUGCAGGAAUGUUGUGUUCAUUUUCAGAGCAACAACAAAAAUGUUAAUCUCCAGACUGAUGGAGGUGCUUCAUUUCAACACAGAUUAGUGUUUCUUUGUUCAUUUUCAGAGCAGCAGCAAGAAUAUUUGUUCUCCAGACUGGGAUGCACAUACUAGUGUUUCUUUGUUAAUGUUCAGAGCAGCAACAAGAAUGUUGUUCUCCAGACUAGGAGUGGUGCUUCAUUGCAGCACAGACUAGUGGUUUUUUUGUUCAUUUUCAGAGCAGCAGUUGUACGCAGCAGCAGGAAUGUUCGUUCUUCAGAUUGGGAUCUGCAUUUUGUUUUCUUUUUUCUAGUUAUGGGUCUGAUUCUAUGCAACUUAUUUUCUUUUCUUUUUUCUAGUCAUGGGUCUGAUUCUAUGCAACUUGGGGAACGGUGUUUCAUUGCAGAACAGACUCUAGUGGUUUUUGUUCAUUUUCUAGGACUCCUUUUGGCAAAAAUGAGGCUUCCGAUUACAAGCAUGGUGUGCUAGAUAAUGUGAUAAUGAUUCAUUAGUACCUUUGUUUCACCAGCAGGCUUACUUCUCUUGUAUGUUUGCUGCUAGGCAAUGUGUAUUUUCUUAGCAGCAGCUGCAUAUUUGUUUUGCUGUCAAUGGACAGUGGCUAAUGGAUGACAUGCAUGCAGUGGGGGUUUAUAUCCGGAGUGUUGUGUUUUUUUGUUUUAUUUGUAACAUAACAUGCAUAAUGUAGAUGCAGUGACAUUUUAGCAAUGUUGUUUCAUCAAGUAGUGGCCAAUUUAGAGAUACUGUGGUUUUUUAUCUAGUUGGUCUACUGCUGCUGUUGCAUAGUUCAUAACGUUUUCUCCUUGCAGAGCCUCAGCAAUGUGAUGAUGAAGAUUCUACUGAUGGAUGAUUAUCAACAUAGUUUUCAACAAGCCGCUUCUAUACAAUUGCUCAGAAAAAUCAAGGGCGGUCUUAAGUGACUGCUGCUAGCCAGGGCUGCGUCAGGCGACCGUUGCGGCGGGCAUCGACCAUCCUGCGAGGGGCCGUGGAGUGGCUGUUGUGAACUGGCCGCGGACGUUGCGACUGGUGCUGCGAAGGGGACACGCGGUGGGCCAGUUUAUUGCUGGUUGCUAUGGCACUGAGUGGUGAGCGGCUGGGCCAGAGACUUGAAGCAUCGCCUAGCCGUCGGAGCAUCAGCGGUGCAGCAAAUGGAGCAUUACCAGUGCUGCGAUGGAGCUUUCGAUAGGUCACCGAAGCAUCGUCGGGCCGCCAAAACAUUAUCAGUGCUGCAGUGGAGCUUCUCGGGUUGUCAGAGCAUCUCCGGUGCUGCGACGGAGCAUCGUCGAGCCACCGAAACAUCAUCGGUGCUGCAGUGGAGCUUCUCGGGUUGUCAGAGCAUUGCCGGUGCUGCGACGGAGCAUCGUUGAGCUGCUGAAACAUCAUCGGUGCUGCUGUGGAGCUUUCUCGGGUUGUCAGAGCAUUGUCGGUGCUGUGACGGAGCAUCGUCGAGCUGCUGAAACAUCAUCGGUGCUGCGGUGGAGCUUAUCGGGUCGUCGGAGCAUUGCCGGAGCAUCGCCGGUGUUGCGACGGAGCAUCGUCAGGCCGUCGAAACAUCAUCGGUGCUGCAGUGGAGCUUCUUGGGUCAUCGGAGCAACGCCAGGCCCCGAAACAUCAUCGGUGCUCCAGUGGAGCUUCACGGGCCAUUGGACAUUGCCAGAGCAUCGCCGGUGCUGCGACGGAGCAUCGUCAGGCUGACGAAACAUCAUCGGUACCGCACUGGAGCUUCUCUGGUCGUCAGAGUAUCGCUAGGCCGCCGAAACAUCAUCGGUGCUCUAGUGGAGCUUCGUCGGCCGACGGAUGGAGCAUUGCCGGAGCAUCAUCCGUGCUGCGCUGGAGCAUUGCCAGGUCAUCGAAGCAUUGCCGAAGCACCGCCGACGCUAUGGAGGAGCAUCGCCUGAGCUGUCGGGGCAUCACCAGUUCCUUAAGGAAUUACGCCCGUGGUGUUGGGACAGCAGUGAUGUUGUGUUGGUGGCUGGAAACGCUGCAAAGAGACAUGGGGGUACGGUGUGGAUGGAAAUGAUGGUGUGGAUGGAAAUGAUAGUGUGAUACUACCAGGGAAUCAAGCGGCCCAAAUCAAAUUCUAUUUACGCAAAUCAACGGCUGGCCAGGCGGCUGAUCUUUUCGGAAGAUCAGCCGGCUGACGCCUAGCAGCCGCCAUCUAAUAUUCUUAUUGCCAGCUUUUUUUUUGAAACGGAUUUGCCUUGUCUAUUAAUUAAGUAGAAGAGAAUAACUCAGUUAAUUAAUAAAAAACCGGACGAAGACAGGCACAAACUGCUGAGCGGCACUCAUAUAAUACCCCACACAUAACUCAACAUAGAGGGCCUCGUCAAGAUCGCACAUCGAUGUCAUCGUCAUCACUUCUCACCAACAGGCGUCAUCGCCUUCCCUAAACUUCGAGCAAGCGACUCCGACUUCGCCGAAGGCGAACAUCAAACCAAUCCUCACCAUAGAGGCAGUGUAGAAACACGAGAAGACCCGUGCCAAAAACGCAUCCACCCGCGCCGAUGGCAAUGCAGCUCCGACUCUGAAGGAGAGCUUCGAAAAAUAAACUAUGCAAGAUUGGCGUCGUUGAAGAUCACCGAACAGACCACCGCUUGCCUGUCAUCGUUGCCACAGGGGCCCACCGCCACAGGUCCGACUUCACCGCAACAAAACAUCCCGAGGUAAUCUCGUUGACACGUCGAAGAAGAAUCGACUACCUCAACCAUUGUCGUGCCUCCGACAUCACUCGCCCCAUCAUCGUUGCCACAUAAGCCUCAAUGUCAACAAAGUUGUCACCCGCUGGUCCCACUUCCAGAUGCUCAGCUCCAAAGACGAAGCCCCUAAAAGGGAAAACAACGACGAGGUGUCGCCAUCGCCCGGUCAUAGGAUCUAGGGUUUCUCCCGAGGCUACCACGGCGAUCGAAUCCAUGUGAGAGGGGUGUGGCAGCAAUGACACGAUGCCUCCAAGAAGGCAAACGACGCCCACGGCCGCUGCCAUUGCUAGGUUUUCACCGAGCUCCCCAGACACCCUUAGUCGCACAUCAAUCCACACUGACACCGACACCGACACAUCUGCAAGCCCACCAACGAUCCCUCAUGGCCAGAUCCGACUCGAUCUAGCCUACCUUCAUGACCUCCUCACCAGGUUGUCGCGCAGCCGAUGACCUCAUCCGCAUCAGAUCCGCAGCUGCUGCAUCACCUCCUCCACACAACAUCGUACCACGGCCAGGACACCUCCAAGCCACCGCUCAAGUCCCCGAGAACGCGCGACGGCCGCAACCGCAACGGCUUGAUCUGGUGCAAGGACCCAGAUCCCCUCCAUGCCAAGGCCGGCGCACCCCGGACUCCCUCGAUGAGCACCUCCAUGAUAGAUCCGCGCCACCACAAGCACACUGGCAGCCCACUCGGUAGUGGAGGACGCACGACUGUGUCCCCGGGCAGCUGUGCCCGGCGGCUACCAUUCGCCAGCACCAGACCUCGACGCCUUCCUAUUGAAGCCGGACCAUCGCGCCACACCUUCAUGCCCACAGAACCACCGAUGUGGACCACAGCGCCCUCCUCAGCGAACAGCGCAUCACCAGUUCACCACCCAUCCCGACGAGCGGCCCUAUGCAGCCCUUGUGUUGGAAUAUUAGGCAAGUUCAUGAUUAAUUCCAGUAAAUAAUUCAUGACUAGAAGAGAUACUAGCAUGCAAUAAUCUAGCAAACUAGAAGAACAGCAAGACAUGCAUAACAGCAGCAAACACGUAACAAUAGCUGUAGAAACAGAAAUGAAUAGAGGAUGUUGGACGUACUGAUCGUUAGCUAUUAUGGGUGCGACAGUGUUGAUGACGAUGUUGGCGACGAUCUGCUGCUGACGGCGAUGAAUACGACGAUGAGUAGCACCGCCCGACUUGGACGGAAGACGACCAGUGAUUGUUGAAUUUGAGCAGUCGCGCACAGCGCUUCCCAAAAACCUAAUUCGUCCUCUCCCGGUGCAGGAUCGCAAAGACGAACGGUUCCGGAGACCUGCUCUCCCACGCCCCGAUGCACGCCGGCGUUUGGGAUGGAGUAGACUACGAUGGCGGCGCAAGUUGUGAGAUGAGGCAAAACCCUAGGUGUUUUUCGGUGUGUCUCUGGCCGCAGCCGGUAGCUGUAUAUAUAUUAGGACCAGAGGCGGUAUUGUGUCGCGACCACAAUCCCAAACCGACUCGGUUUCUAAUUCGUAUACUUACCGGACAAGAAAUCAAAAACUUGUCUGCCAAGACAUAAAAAUAAAACGGCAAAAGGAAGCUGCGCUCCUGCAAGGAGACGGACCGGAUUUCGGCGGACCAUUCACGCGCAUGUCGCAUGUACGCGCCGCCACGCCACGCCACGGCCAGGCCAGGCGAGCGAGCGCGCGCGUGUGGUUUUCCCUUUCUCUUCUCACACACCACUUAGAGUGGUGGAGAGAACCCACUAUAUAAAGAGGUCCAACUCUUCUUCAACUUCCAAGGUGGGACUAAACUUAGCACCACCACUUGCCAUUUUACACAUGGGCUUUGAGAUUUCAGAAAUUGCUAUGGGCCUAGCCCAUUAAUUCUAACAAUCCCCCACCAGAUCUCAAAUACCCAUUUAGAGAUUUGCCUUCUCUCACCACUUGUUUAAUAUACCAGUGUUUCAGCAGAGACUGUUAAGUUGAACUUCUGCCUAGAACUUUAAGCUACAUCCAUUCACAACUUGACAAUGGACUAUGCCUUGAAUUGCUAGUUUUGUGUGAACAGGUUUCACUCAAAGUCUUAACCAGUACCUGACCGCCAGUAGGCUACCCCGCGGUUUGGAGCUUAUACGUCAUACUCCCUGGUCUCUUCGUGAGCUUACUAGAGAUCACCCAAAUCUCAUAGACUGCGACGUUUACAGUCACAACUCAUAUAGGUGUGUUCUUUCAAGACUGCUCUGUAGGACAGCAUCUUUGCUAAUUAUAGCCAAUAGAACCACAUUAAGGCAUGUUGCCAACCUGCCUUACAGAUCUGAGCCUUACAGCUCUGAGAGUUUUGCAUCUUCACUUGGAGACGAUCAUAAGUUAUUACUCUCCUCAGUUAACCAAUAGCUUGUUCUUCCCAGAUCCUAAUUCACGGGAUCUCCGAUCACAAAGGUUGGGUUACUACUAUGGUGUAACAUCUAUGGGUCUCAUACCCAUCUCCCUCGAUGCAAUAUCUAUCACAUUUCGUGAUAGUCCCUUUGUAAAGGGAUCUGCCAGGUUUUUGUCUGUUUGUAUAUACGUAACAGUUAUUACUCCGGAGUUUCUCAACUUCCUGACAGACUUCAAACGUCUUUUCAGGUGUCUUGAUGACUUUGCAUUAUCUUUAGAAUUGUUCACUUUAGCGAUAACCGUUUGGUUAUCACAAUUCAUAAGAAUAGCCGGUACAGGUUUUUUCAACAACCGGCAAGUCCAUCAAGAGCUCACGCAGCCAUUCUGCCUCAACAGUAGCUGUGUCCAAAGCAGUUAAUUCUGCUUCCAUAGUUGACCUCGUCAAUAUGGUUUGCUUGCAAGACCUCCAUGACACUGCGCCACCACCAUGAGUAAAUACAUACCCACUUGUUGCGUAAAGUACAUCAACAUCGGAGAUCCAAUUUGAAUCACUAUAUCCUUCUAGCACAGCAGGAUGCCCUGAAUAAGUAAUUCCGUAACUCAUAGUACCUCUCAGAUAGCACAAGACCCUUUCUAGUGCAUGCCAAUGAUCAUCACCCGGGUUGGACAUGAACCUACUCAGUUUGCUCACAGCAAAAGAGAUAUCUGGUCUUGUAGCGCUAGCUAAGUACAUGAGUGAACCGACAAUUUGAGAGUAUCUUAAUUGAUCUCUCGUUUCUUUCUUGUUCUUUCUGAGUGUCACGCUGGGAUCAUAAGGUGUUGGAGAAGGCUUGCUAUCCAUAAAACCGAAUCGGUUCAAGACCUUCUCAACAUAGUGAGAUUGCGUUAAUGUAAUCCCACUCUUAUCCUGAAUAAGUUUGAUGUUUAGAAUUACAUCGGCUUCUCCCAGAUCUUUCAUGUCAAAACUUUUCGAUAGAAAAGACUUGACCUCAUUAAUUGCAUUAAUGUUUGUACCAAAGAUCAGUAUGUCGUCCACAUACAAACAUAAUAUGACACUAUUGCCCCCACCAUGGCGAUAGUAAACACACCUAUCAGCCUCGUUAAUGACAAAUCCUGCAGAAGUCAGAGUUCUUUCAAACUUCUCAUGCCAUUGCUUAGGUGCCUGUUUCAGACCAUACAAAGAUUUUAACAACUUGCACACCUUUCUCUCUUCACCCUUUACCACAAACCCGUCAGGCUGAUCCAUAUAGAUCUCCUCUUCCAACUCUCCAUUGAGAAAAGCUGUCUUUACAUCCAUUUGAUGAAUGAUAAGACCAUAAGAGGCAGCCAAGGAAAGUAACACUCGAAUGGUGGUCAUUCUAGCAACGGGUGAAUAGGUGUCAAAGUAAUCUUCGCCUUCUUUCUGAGUGUAGCCCUUGGCCACUAGCCGCGCCUUGUACUUAUCAAUAGUACCAUCAGGCUUUAGCUUCUUUUUGAACACCCACUUACAGCCCACAGGUUUACAACCAUAUGGUCUAUCAGUUAGUUCCCAAGUUCCAUUAGAAAGAAUUGAUUCCAUCUCAUUAUGACCAGCUUCUUUCCAAUCAUCUACAUCCGGAGAUGCAUAUGCUUCUGCAAUCGUCUUGGGUGUGUCGUCCACAAGGUAUACAAUGAAAUCAUCACCAAAUGAUUUUGCAAUCCUUUGUCUCUUGUUCCUUCUAGGAACUUCAUUGUUAUCCUUCUCAAGGACUUCCUCAUGUGAUUGUUCGAAAUAUUCAUCAGUUGUACUAGAUUCAGGAAUUAUCUCAGAAGAAAAUCUAGCAAUGCUAUGCAUAUCUUUCAUAGGAAAUAUGUUCUCAAAAAAUGUUGCAUCACGAGAUUCCAUUAUAGUAUCAACAUGCAUAUUAGGUACUUCAGAUUUUACCACUAAAAACCUAUAAGCAAUGCUCCGUUGAGCAUACCCUAGAAAGACACAAUCCACUGUCUUUGGUCCAAGUUUGCGUUUCUUAGGAAUAGGAAUAUUGACCUUUGCCAAACAUCCCCAAGUGCGCAAAUAAGAAAGUGAUGGUUUUCUCCCAACCCACUCCUCAUAAGGGGUUUUCUCUUUAUUAUUGUUGGGAACUCUAUUCAGGACAUGACAUGAAGUCAAUAGAGCCUCCCCCCACCAUGCCUUAGAUGAACCAGCAGUGUCUAACAUGGCAUUCACCAAGUCAGUCAAUGUGCGGUUUUUCCUCUCGGCCACUCCAUUUGAUUGAGGUGAAUAGGGAGGCGUCCUCUCAUGAAUAAUACCAUGUUCCUCACAAAAUUCAUCAAAAACUUUUGGAAAAUACUCUCCACCACGAUCGGACCUAAGACGCUUGAUCUUUCUCUCUAGUUGAUUUUCAACUUCAGCUUUAUAGAUUUUAAAGUAGUCUAAUGCUUCAUCUUUAGUUUGCAACAAAUAAACAUAGCAAAAUCUAGUCGCAUCAUCAAUCAAAGUCAUGAAAUAUCUCUUUCCACCUUUUGUCAACACACCAUUCAUCUCACAAAGAUCAGAAUGUAUGAGUUCUAGAGGUGCCAAGUUUCUCUCCUCGGCAGCCUUAUGAGGCUUUCGAGGUUGCUUAGUUUGCACACAACUAUGGCACUUAGAACCUUUGGCAACUGUGAAGUUCGGAAUUAAACUCAUGCUGGAUAGCCGAGACAUUAAACCAAAAUUAAUAUGACAUAAACGAGAGUGCCAAAUACUUGCAUCAUCGUUAACACUAGCACAAAUUUGGUUUAUUGACUUAUUGCAAAAAUCUGAAAGAGAAAAGCGGAACAAGCCUCCGCACUCAUAGCCUUUUCCUAUAAAUUGUCCAAAUCUUGACACGAUUACUUUAUUGGACUCUAAAACUACCUUAAAUCCAUCUCGACAUAGAAGGGAGCCGCUAACUAGAUUCUUGUUCAUAGUAGGGACAUGCUGCACGUUCCUUAGUUGCACGAUCUUUCCCGAAGUAAACUUCAGAUCCACCGUGCCAAUGCCACGAACAGAAGCAUGUGACCCAUUCCCCAUUAGGACGGAAGAAUCCCUUGCGACCUGAUAAGAAGUAAACAGGGAGAUGUCAGCACACACAUGAACGUUAGCACCCGAAUCAAUCCACCACGAAGAUGAUUGAAAUACUGAAAGCACAAUAGGUAAAUUACCAUACCCAUCAGUAUUGCUAGCGGUCACCAUGUUGACAGUCUUGGAGCUUGUUUUCCCUCUGCGGUCUGCACGUUCAGGGCAUUCCUUGAAAAAGUGUCCAGGCUUCCCACAGGCGUAGCACUCUAGCUCAGCCUUGUUGAACUUCUUCUUCUUGAAGGUAGUAGUCUUGGUAGGCUUGUUGAAAACAGGUUUGUUCUUCCCUUUGUUCUUGUUCUGUGGGUACCUCUGCACCAUGUUAGCAGUAGGCUGAACCUCACCUCCUUUUUCAGUGGUAUCUUUAGCCCGAGCUUUUUCUUCAACAUCAAGAGAUGCAAUCAUAUUUUCAACUGAUAUCUCCUGCCUCUUAUGCUUCAGAGUUGUGGCGAAAUUCCUCCAUGAAAGAGGCAACUUUGCAAUCAUGCACCCAGCCACGAAUUUGUCGGGUAGAACACAUUUAAGGAGUUCAAAUUCCUUCACAAUGCACUGUAUCUCAUGAGCUUGUUCAACCACAGAACGGUUAUUCACCAUCUUGUAGUCAUGAAAACUCUCCAUGAUGUACAGUUCACUGCCUGCAUCUGUUGCACCGAAUUUUGCAUUCAGUGCAUCCCACAGAAUUUUUCCGUCGUUUAUGUGCAUGUACACAUCACACAGACGGUCAGCAAGAACACUCAGAAUGCAUCCCACAAACAUAGUAUUGGCUUCCUGGAAUUUUCUCCGAUCUUCGUCGGUCAUUCCCUCUGGAGCACCAACACUAGCGUGGAAAACUUUCAGAGCAGUAAGCCAGAGCGUGGUCUUCACCUGCCACCUCUUAAAGUGCACACCGGUAAACUUAUCCGGCCUCAGUGCAUCAGCGAAUCCAGCCAUAGUUAACUCAGGAAAUUGCCUAUAAUUAGGUUUUUGGAUUGUUGGAAUAUUAGGCAAGUUCAUGAUUAAUUCCAGUAAAUAAUUCAUGACUAGAAGAGAUACUAGCAUGCAAUAAUCUAGCAAACUAGAAGAACAGCAAGACAUGCAUAACAGCAGCAAACACGUAACAAUAGCUGUAGAAACAGACAUGAACAGAGGAUGUUGGACGUACUGAUCGUUAGCUAUUAUGGGUGCGGCAGUGUUGAUGACGAUGUUGGCGACGAUCUGCUGCUGACGGCGAUGAAUACGACGAUGAGUAGCACCGCCCGACUUGGACGGAAGACGACCAGUGAUUGUUGAAUUUGAGCAGUCGCGCACAGCGCUUCCCAAAAACCUAAUUCGUCCUCUCCCGGUGCAGGAUCGCAAAGACGAACGGUUCCGGAGACCUGCUCUCCCACGCCCCGAUGCACGCCGGCGUUUGGGAUGGAGUAGACUACGAUGGCAGCGCAAGUUGUGAGAUGAGGCAAAACCCUAGGUGUUUUUCGGUGUGUCUCUGGCCGCAGCCGGUAGCUGUAUAUAUAUUAGGACCAGAGGCGGUAUUGUGUCGCGACCACAAUCCCAAACCGACUCGGUUUCUAAUUCGUAUACUUACCGGACAAGAAAUCAAAAACUUGUCUGCCAAGACAUAAAAAUAAAACGGCAAAAGGAAGCUGCGCUCCUGCAAGGAGACGGACCGGAUUUCGGCGGACCAUUCACGCGCAUGUCGCAUGUACGCGCCGCCUCGCCUCGCUACGCCACGCCACGCCCCGCCCCGGCCCGGCCAGGCCAGGCGAGGCGAGGCGAGCGAGCGCGUGCGUGUGGUUUUCCCUUUCUCUUCUCACACACCACUUAGAGUGGUGGAGAGAACCCACUAUAUAAAGAGGUCCAACUCUUUUUCAACUUCCAAGGUGGGACUAAACUUAGCACCACCACUUGCCAUUUUACACAUGGGCUUUGAGAUUUCAGAAAUUGCUAUGGGCCUAGCCCAUUAAUUCUAACACCUUGCCUGUGCCGGAUCUUCAAGCACCACGCCCACCUGAUGAAGUAGCACCUCCGUGCACACGCAACCGCUGUGCUGCCACUCGGCAAGAUGCCAGUAGACGCCAAAUUGGUAAACUUUUUCCGUGAGAAGAUUAAGGCCAUAUAUUAAAGUCAUCCAACCCUUACAAUACGAUCCUUAUAAAAACAGAACAUAACAUAGAUAUCCUUAGGUAUAUAGACGAUGUCUUCCUCCUCCACUCGGCGAGAGCGCACCAUGAGUAAAGAUCGAUGAUGUCUCUGGAUCUUCAUAACACCCUUGCAACACGAAACCCUCACAGGCACACCAUAUUUUACACUUUUUUGUAACCAAAUUCCAUGAAGAAGCACUGAUGGUUUAUGAUGUUACUUCUUUCAGUUCAACUUUCACUAGUGCAGAACCGGGCUUUAGCGCCGGUUCGUAAGGGCCUUUAGUGUCGGUUCCACAACCGGCACUAAAGAGUGGGGACUAAAUGUUGGGGAACGUAGUAAUUUCAAAAAAAUUCCUACGCACACGCAAGAUCAUGGUGAUGCAUAGCAACGAGAGGGGAGAGUGUUGUCCACGUACCCUCGUAGACCGACAGCGGAAGCGUUAUCACAACGCGGUUGAUGUAGUCGUACGUCUUCACGAUCCGACCGAUCAAGUACCGAACGUACGGCACCUCCGAGUUCUACACACGUUCAGCUCGAUGACGUCCCUCGAACUCCGAUCCAGCCGAGUGUUGAGGGAGAGUUUCGUCAGUACGACGGCAUGGUGACGAUAAUGAUGUUCCACCGACGCAGGGCUUCGCCUAAGCUCCGCAACGGUAUUAUCGAGGUGUAAUAUGGUGGAGGGGGGCACCGCACACGGCUAAGAGAUCUCAAGGAUCAAUUGUUGUGUCUCUGGGGUGCCCCUUUGCCCCCGUAUAUAAAGGAGCAAGGAGGAGGCAGCCGGCCAAGGGGAGAGGCGCGCCAUAGGGGGGAGUCCUACUCCCACCGGGAGUAGGACUCCUCCUUUCCUUGUGGGAGUAGGAGAAGGGAAGGGGGAAGGAGAAAGAAGGAAGGGUGCGCCCCCCCUUCCCUAGUCCAAUUCGGACCAGACCAUGGGGAGGGGUGCGGCCACCUUUUGAGCCCUUUCUCUCCUUUCCCGUAUGGCCCAUUAAGGCCCAAUACGAACUCCCGUAACUCUCCGGUACUCCGAAAAAUACCCGAAUCACUCGGAACCUUUCCAAAGUCCGAAUAUAGUCGUCCAAUAUAUCGAUCUUUAUGUCUCAACCAUUUCGAGACUCCUCGUCAUAUCCCCGAUCUCAUCCGGGACUCCGAACUCCUUCGGUACAUCAAAACUCAAUAAAACUGUCAUCGUAACGUUAAGCGUGCGGACCCUACGGGUUCGAGAACUAUGUAGACAUGACCGAGACAUGUCUCCGGUCAAUAACCAAUAGCGGGACCUGGAUGCCCAUAUUGGCUCCCACAUAUUCUACGAAGAUCUUUAUCGGUUAGACCGCAUAACAACAUACGUUGUUCCCUUUGUCACCGGUAUGUUACUUGCCCGAGAUUUGAUCGUCGGUAUCUCGAUACCUAGUUCAAUCUCGUUACCGGCAAGUCUCUUUACUCGUUCCGUAACACAUCAUCCCGCAACUAACUCAUUAGUCACAAUGCUUGCAAGGCUUAUAGUGAUGUGCAUUACCGAGUGGGCCCAGAGAUACCUCUCCGACAAUUGGAGUGACAAAUCCUAAUCUCGAAAUACGCCAACCCAACAAGUACCUUUGGAGACACCUGUAGAGCACCUUUAUAAUCACCCAUUUACGUUGUGACGUUUGGUAGCACACAAAGUGUUCCUCCGGUAAACGGGAGUUGCAUAAUCUCAUAGUCAUAGGAACAUGUAUAAGUCAUGAAGAAAGCAAUAGCAACAUACUAAACGAUCGGGUGCUAAGCUAACGGAAUGGGUCAAGUCAAUCACGUCAUUCUCCUAAUGAGGUGAUCUCGUUAAUCAAAUGACAACUUAUGUCUAUGGCUAGGAAACAUAACCAUCUUUGAUUAACGAGCUAGUCAAGUAGAGGCAUACUAGUGACACUCUGUUUGUCUAUAUAUUCACACAUGUACUAUGUUUCCGGUUAAUACAAUUCUAGCAUGAAUAAUAAACAUUUAUCAUGAUACAAGGAAAUAAAUAAUACUUUAUUAUUGCCUCUAGGGCAUAUUUCCUUCAGUCUCCCACUUGCACUAGAGUCAAUAAUCUAGAUUACACAGUAAUGAUUCUUACACCCAUGGAGCCUUGGUGCUGAUCAUGUUUUGCUCGUGGAAGAGGCUUAGUCAACGGGUCUGCAACAUUCAGAUCCGUAUGUAUCUUGCAAAUUUCUAUGUCUCCCACUUGGACUAAAUCCCGGAUGGAAUUGAAGCGUCUUUUAAUGUGCUUGGUUCUCUUGUGAAAUCUGGAUUCCUUUGCCAAGGCAAUUGCACCAGUAUUGUCACAAAAGAUUUUCGUAGGACCCGAUGCACUAGGUAUGACACCUAGAUCGGAUAUGAACUCCUUCAUCCAGACUCCUUCAUUUGCUGCUUCCGAAGCAGCUAUGUACUCCGCUUCACAUGUAGAUCCCGCCACGACGCUUUGUUUAAAACUGCACCAACUGACAGCUCCACCGUUCAAUGUAAAUACGUAUCCGGUUUGCGAUUUAGAAUCGUCCGGAUCAGUGUCAAAGCUUGCAUCAACGUAACCAUUUACGAUGAGCUCUUUGUCACCUCCAUAUACGAGAAACAUAUCCUUAGUCCUUUUCAGGUAUUUCAGGAUGUUCUUGACCGCUGUCCAGUGGUCCACUCCUGGAUUACUUUGGUACCUUCCUGCUAGACUUAUAGCAAGGCAUACAUCAGGUCUGGUACACAGCAUUGCAUACAUGAUAGAGCCUAUGGCUGAAGCAUAGGGGACAUCUUUCAUCUUCUCUCUAUCUUCUGCAGUGGUCGGGCAUUGAGUCUUACUCAACUUCACACCUUGCAACACAGGCAAGAAUCCUUUCUUUGCUUGAUCCAUUUUGAACUUCUUCAAAACUUUGUCAAGGUAUGUGCUUUGUGAAAGUCCAAUUAAGCGUCUUGAUCUAUCUCUAUAGAUCUUGAUGCCCAAUAUAUACGCAGCUUCACCGAGGUCUUUCAUUGAAAAACUCUUAUUCAAGUAUCCCUUUAUGCUAUCCAGAAAUUCUAUAUCAUUUCCAAUCAGUAAUAUGUCAUCCACAUAUAAUAUCAGAAAUGCUACAGAGCUCCCACUCACUUUCUUGUAAAUACAGGCUUCUCCAAAAGUCUGUAUAAAACCAAAUGCUUCGAUCACACUAUCAAAGCAUUUAUUCCAACUCCGAGAGGCUUGCACCAGUCCAUAAAUGGAUCGCUAGAGCUUGCACACUUUGUUAGCUCCCUUUGGAUCGACAAAACCUUCUGGUUGCAUCAUAUACAACUCUUCUUCCAGAAAUCCAUUCAGGAAUGCAGUUUUGACAUCCAUUUGCCAAAUUUCAUAAUCAUAAAAUGCGGCAAUUGCUAACAUAAUUCGGACAGACUUAAGCAUCGCUACGGGUGAGAAGGUCUCAUCAUAGUCAAUCCCUUGAACUUGUCAAAAACCUUUCGCAACAAGUCGAGCUUUAUAGACAGUAACAUUACCAUCAGCGUCAGUCUUCUUCUUGAAGAUCCAUUUAUUUUCAAUGGCUUGCCGAUCAUUGGGCAAGUCAACCAAAGUCCAUACUUUGUUCUCAUACAUGGAUCCCAUCUCAGAUUUCAUGGCCUCAAGCCAUUUUGCGGAAUCUGGGCUCACCAUCGCUUCUUCAUAAUUCGUAGGUUCGUCAUGGUCUAGUAACAUAACUUCCAGAACAGGAUUACCAUACCACUCUGGUGCGGAUCUUACUCUGGUUGAUCUACGAGGUUCAGUAAUAACUUGAUCUGAAGUUUCAUGAUCAUCAUCAUUAACUUCCUCACUAAUUGGUGUAGGUGUCUCAGAAACUGGUUUCUGUGAUGAACUACUUUCCAAUAAGGGAGCAGGUAUAGUUACCUCAUCAAGUUCUACUUUACUCCCACUCACUUCUUUCGAGAGAAACUCCUUCUCUAGAAAAUUUCCGAAUUUAGCAACAAAAGUUUUGCCUUCGGAUCUUUGAUAGAAGGUAUACCCAACAGUCUCCUUUGGGUAUCCUAUGAAGACACAUUUCUCCGAUUUGGUUUCGAGCUUAUCAGGUUGAAGUUUCUUCACAUAAGCAUCGCAGCCCCAAACUUUAAGAAACGACAACUUUGGUUUCUUGCCAAACCAUAGUUCAUAAGGCGUCGUCUCAACGGAUUUUGAUGGUGCCCUAUUUAACGUGAAUGCAGCCGUCUCUAAAGCAUAACCCCAAAACGAUAGCGGUAAAUCAGUAAGAGACAUCAUAGAUCGCACCAUAUCUAGUAAAGUGCGAUUACGAUGUUCGGACACACCAUUACGCUGUGGUGUUCCGGGUGGCGUGAGUUGCGAAACUAUUCCGCAUUGUUUCAAAUGUAGACCAAACUCGUAACUCAAAUAUUCUCCUCCACGAUCUGAUCGUAGAAACUUUAUUUUCUUGUUACGAUGAUUUUUAACUUCACUCUGAAAUUCUUUGAACUUUUCAAAGGUUUCAGACUUAUGUUUCACUAGGUAAUUGCCCGUGCGUUGCUACGGGAGCAACAAUUUCAUCACAACAAGAGUAUUAUGAAAUGGUGUUAUGAGGUCACCAGAACAUAUACCCGAUCUUACAAACAUGAUAUUUUGAGUAACAUUAAUAAGAUGCAUAAGCAUUGAUUUAACACACACGUGUCAAAGCAAGCAUGAAUAAUGGAUUGUAAACACCAUGAUAGCCAAGUUCAAACUAAAGGAAGCAAGUUCACGUCAUGAUAGUCAAGUUCACCGAAACUCUAUUUCAGAUUAUUUUUCCUAUGAUGGAGCUGAAAUAUUCCUAUAUACUUGUAGGAAUCAUAAAUCACCAGGAAGCACCGUCAUAAAUCACUAUAGUCAAUAGUUCCUUUGCAACAAACUGGAGCUAGUAAGAUGAAGAAAACGGUACCUAAUUGCUAAACCGAAGUGUGGAUAGAUACUUAUAUUUAGUAUUUAGACACUUGUAUGCUAAACCAAACGGUACCUGAUUGUCAUAAAUCACUAUAAUCAUUAUUUAGUAUUUAGACACUUAUAUUUUAAAAGGUGGAUAGAUACUUCAAACCUUACAUAUGCUAGCAACCAAGAUUGCUAUUUAAAAUUAAGACCUCCCUAUGGUCCAGCUCCUCUGUAGUAUUGGCUCGCCUCGUCGUUCUCAUUCUGCACAGGUUUUGUUUGCCGAGGUGGCAUCAGCUCCAUGGUGGCCUCCUCCGAGCUCCUGAGCUCAUCGACGCCAAGAAAAAACUGAAAAAGAAUCUUGCUAUUUAUACAUGACGACUACAACAACAAUAAUUAUGAGGGUAUACAAGACCACCAUUGAAAGACUUUGUAACACUUGUUUUAUGGGGGUAUAAGCUCUCACAUUCUGUAUUGCAAGUCAGAAAGCAAAAAAUGAUAAUUAGUUUCCAUUUCCAGUAUGCAAGACAGAAGUUUAUACAUAACUGCUUAUUGUCGCUAAUGUGUUUUUCGCUCCCAGCAAGAAUAAACAAAUGGGAAGAAAUAUAUCUACUUACUACAACUACUUUUCUUUUCUGUCUCAGCAAGAAUAUGCAUAAAUGUGAAGAGAAUAUAGCUUACAGGAAUAUGUGCGAUCAUUGUUCAUAUACAUACCGAGAAAUAACGAAUACCACCUAUAAAUUGUUCCGUACAACAAUUCUGCAGUGCAAGAUAAUCGAAGAGGAUAAACAAUUGUGACUUUGUUUUUAACAGAACCUCGUCAGAGGGCCAGGAGCUCUGGCAUUUCAUUAUAGAAGAAGAGAAUUGAUCCAGUUUAUAAGAGAAACCGGAUCGAAAACCUCACAAAGUGGCCGGUUUAUAAGGAUAACCGAGCCGAAAAACCGCACAAGCAAGGAAGCCUUGUCGACCACACGACACAAGGCCACAAUCGCAACAAACACACACCCCCAGCUCCGGAGCCGCCGCUCCGACAUCCCCCGCCCGCUCACGAGCCAUAGCGCCGCACGGUUCGAGGGCCCUGUAGCCCUUGCUACAGGAGACGACCGACCGCAGACCACGAACGCUGUGCCAAACAUCCGGAGCCGCCGCCCCGACUUCCUGCCAGACCAACCCCUCGGGCCGCGUCCAACCAGGCCGACGACCUCGCUACCCUUGUAGCACCAAGUCGCCGCCCAAGCCAUGCAGAGCCACGAACCUACCCCAUAGAGCCGUCGUUGCAUCGCCAUCCGAGGCCGCCGCCUCGGCGUACUUCCACCGUCCGGAGCCGCCGCCCCAGCUUCCACCGCCUAGUCCACGACCCAAAACCUGCACAAUUGUCAUGAACCCACCAUCCCACAAAGGUCAAGGAUUCCAAAGCGGUGCCUUCAAGAAGGUAACAGCAUAAAUGUCGCCACCGCCCGCUCCGAUAGAGCUUGGGUUUUCACCCAGAAUCACAUAACAAUUGUGAGAAUAAAUGGAUGUAUCUCCACGAUGAGGCCUUCAAGAAGGUACGCGACGCUCAAGAACGCCGCCAUCAUCGGCACCGACCGGAGAAGGUGCAAGACUUUCGCCCGGAGAACAACAUUUGUGCAAGGAGCGUUGCAGCCAACCACCAGACCCACCUGCAUGAUGCAACGGAGCACCACGCCGUGCCAUCACGCCUCCGGCCUCCGGCCACAGCCACAACUACCUCAAGCCCAGCCCUCUGCUACAGAACAAGCAGAAGAUGAGCACACCAGUACAGGGACGGAGACCAAUCUCCACAGCCACCGUAGCAUAAACACCAUCGCGGCACCGGCGUGCCGCCGUCCAAAAACUGCAGCUUUCCGCCACCACCGCAGCUCCCCCAGCCGAGGGAGGGGACUCCAGCACUCAGCACGCCCAGCAGCCGGCACAGCAGCACGCCAGAGUGCCACCACCGGCAGAUCCGGACGUCGGUCGUCAGAUCCGCGGCGGUAGCACCGCCCCGAACACCCUCAGUAGAGAGUCGGAAGGAGCAGCGCCGCCACCUUGCCCGGGGCCGCCGCCCCGGCUUACCUGCGCCGGCGAGAGGACCCGCCGCCGCCCAGCCGCAACCAGGAGUGGAGCUCCGUCCAGGGCCGAAGCCGCACGCCACACGACGAGGAGGCCCCGCCGCCGCCGUCCGCCGAGCGAGAUUUGCCCGUCGGCAUCCCCCAGCGGCGGCAGGGGAGCGAGGAAGGAGCGGGGAGUGGGGGCGGCGGCGGCUAGGUUAUCGCCCGUGCCACCCCCCUGGGAGCGACGCGAGCAAGGAAGGAGCAGUAUUCAGCUUGUUCUUCAGUUUGGCUUUUUGAAAUUUAAACAAUUGUGACUUGAUUGCAUGAGAUACUAUUCUCAUGAUAGAUAUAUACUGACCAUAUCACAUAGAUGUGGCUACAUGUAUGCAUGCUAGCAAUGGCCAGCCACAUCCAAAGAAUAAUAACACGUACGAUUCCAAAUAAAAUUCAGUCAGGCACAUUUGGUUCAAUGUAUUUUUUAGUCACCUUAUGUUUUUCUGAUGUUCAGGUGUGUCAGGUCAUUCUUCCAGAAUUGAUCUUAAAUAUCAUGCUUGAACUUAUUUUUGAUGAAAUAUCAACACUAUGCCUGAAUGCAAUAUAGCAAGACCAACUCGCCCUACUGAAUGUACAUGGGUACCAUUAAUCGCGGACCUUUGCUGAACAAUUCAGGUAAGUUUAGAGGGGCAACAUCUACCCGUUUAACAUUUCUUUUACAUUCUCCAAGGCUCCGAUAUCUGAGUGCGAUAACACAUGACACAAGGUUUGUCUCAAACUCAUUCAUUGUGACCAGGUCCUGAAAAAGAAAAUAACUUAUAUCAGUUUAAUUUUCGCACUUCAAGAACCAGACUGUCAUUAUCCAAGAUACCAAGGAAAAAUUGCAUAUCUCAUUUACAGAACAUAAAUGAUGGGAAGAAUGAUGUAUGGUGUAAUCCUAUGCUAGAUAGAUUCACUGACGAACAAAUAAGAAAUCAAAAACUCACUGCGGUUCUCCUGGUUCAGCAGCCGCGCCUUGUUAGACUCAUGUUUCGGCAGCCACACCUUUUAGAUUUGGGAGCCAAUUCGCGGAUGAAGAUGGCAACAGAGCAUGUUCUCCAUGCACCAUCCUAAAGAAAUAACACCAAAUAUGAUCAUUAGGGAACAAAUUAAAUAUUUGGUUGCUUUAUUUGACGUUUAAGAAUGAAAUUUUCAGAUGUAGCUGCACCUGUAACCAUCUACGUACCUUGUAACACAGCAAUCGACUUGAUUAGAGAAGAGGAAAAAACUCAAGCAAUUAUCCUGUACAGAAAUAUUACCUCAUUGUAUUUCCAAUUCUUCCGUCCCUUUCACUCCAUCAGGGAUAUGUUCAAAAACCAGCAAAUCCUGAUUGCAUCACUUGUACAACACUAAGUAAGAAAGGAAUGUUGAUGUGGGACAUGGAGUGCUACAGACAAACACUGCCUCAUCCCAGCACAGAAGGGCCGCGGGGCGAAGGUACAACACACAUGUGGUGCCACGGUGGUGUAGCUCUUCAUUGGACGCCACGGAGGAAAGGAGAAGACGGCCUUGUCCAGGCCACAUCUUGGAGGCGGGGAGGCUGUACUGCGGGAUCGCCGUGGUAGGCGGACUCGAAGACGACCGGCCAGCAGUUUCGCCGACGCGGCCGCCAGAUCUGGUAGAGAAAACAGGCUGGACCAACGUGGGGAGAGAGGAGGAGGUAGAUGACCACGCCCCCAUCAGAUUGGUGCCCGACAGGCGGCCCCUUCCAUAUCCCACGUUGCAAGGAGAGGGAACAAGGUCGAUCCGAUGCACGGGGUGGAUGGGGAGCGGCGGCGGCUCCAAGAGAGAGAGAGGGAGUAUGGGAGGUGUACUCUGAUGGGGUGUGUAGCGGCGGCGGUGCUUGGGAGGGGAGGAGGCAGCGUCGAGCCUGUCAGGACGGAGUGGAUCGGUGCUAGAUGGGAUUGCAUCCCGACGUUUUCGGCAGGGACGAUUGCGCGUGAAAAAAAAACUUAAUCGACGAUGGACGAAGGCGGACGAAACGAAGGGACGUAAGAGGGAAAACCGAACCUUACAUUUCUUUUAGGUAGUAGAGAAGAGUAGAGAUAGAGAUUAAGUAGAUAUACCCAUAUCUGCUUAAAUCAUCUGUGAAGGUGAGAAAAUAACGAUAUUCGCCACGAGCCUCAACAUUCAUCGGACCACAUACAUCUGUAUGUAUGAUUUCCAACAAAUCUGUUGCUCUCUCCAUAGUUCCGGAGAACGGUGUUUUAGUCAUCUUGCCCAUGAGGCACGGUUCGCAAGUACCAAGUGAUUCAUAAUCAAGUGGUUCCAAAAGUCCAUCAGUAUGGAGUUUCUUCAUGCGCUUUACACCGAUAUGACCUAAACGGCAGUGCCACAAAUAAGUUGCACUAUCAUUAUCAACUCUGCAUCUUUUGAUCUCAAUAUUAUGAAUAUGUGUAUCAUUACUAUCGAGAUUCAACAAAAAUAGACCACUCUUCAAGGGUGCAUGACCAUAAAAGAUAUUACUCAUAUAAAUAGAACAACCAUUAUUCUCUGAUUUAAAUGAAUAACCGUCUCGUAUCAAACAAGAUCCAGAUAUGAUGUUCAUGCCCAACGCUGGCACCAAAUAACAAUUAUUUAGGUCUGAAACUAAUCCCGAAGGUAGAUGUAGAGGUAGUGUGCCGACCGCGAUCACAUCGACUUUGGAACCAUUUCCCACGCGCAUCGUCACCUCGUCCUUAGCCAAUCUUCGCUUAAUCCGUAGCCCCUGUUUCGAGUUGUAAAUAUUAGCAACAGAACCAGUAUCAAAUACCCAGGUGCUACUGCGAGCAUUAGUAAGGUACACAUCAAUAACAUUUAUAUCACAUAUACCUUUGUUCACCUUGCCAUCCUUCUUAUCCGCCAAAUACUUUGGGCAGUUCCGCUUCCAGUGACCAGUUUGCUUGCAGUAGAAGCACUCAGUUUCAGGCUUAGGUCCAGACUUGGGUUUCUUCUCCUGAGUAGCAACUUGUUUGUUGUUCUUCUUGAAGUUCCCUUUCUUCUUCCCUUUACCCUUUUUCUUGAAACUGGUGGUCUUAUUGACCAUCAACACUUGAUGCUCCUUUUUGAUUUCUACCUCCGCAGCCUUUAGCAUUGCGAAGAGCUCGGGAAUUGUCUUACUUAUCCCUUGCAUAUUAUAGUUCAUCACGAAGCUCUUGUAGCUUGGUGGCAGUGAUUAAAGAAUUCUGUCAAUAACGCUAUCAUCCGAAAGAUUAACUCCCAGUUGAAUCAAGUGAUUGUUAUACCCAGACAUUUUGAGUAUAUGCUCACUGACAGAACUAUUCUCUUCCAUCUUGCAGCUGAAGAACUUAUUGGAGACUUCAUAUCUCUCAAUUCGGGCAUUUGCUUGAAAUAUUAACUUCAACUCCUGGAACAUCUCAUAUGCUCCAUGACGUUCAAAACGUCAUUGAAGACCCGGUUCUAAGCCGUAAAGCAUGGCACACUGAACUAUCGAGUAGUCAUCAACACGCGACUGCCAGGCAUUCACAAUGUCUGCAGUUGCUGCCGCAGGUGGUACACCCAGCGGUGCUUCCAGGACGUAAUUCUUCUGUGCAGCUAUGAGGAUAAUCCUCAAGUUACGGACCCAGUCCGUGUAAUUGCUACCAUCAUCUUUCAACUUUACUUUCUCAAGGAACGCAUUAAAAUUCAACGGAACAACAGCACGGGCCAUCUAUCUACAAUUAACAUAGACAAGCAAAAUACUAUCAGGUACUAAGUUCAUGAUAAAUUCAAGUUCAAUUAAUCAUAUUACUUAAGAACUCCCACUUAGAUAGACAUCCCUCUAAUCCUCUAAGUGAUCACGUGAUCCAUAUCAACUAAACCAUGUCCGAUCAUCACGUGAGAUGGAGUAGUUUCAAUGGUGAACAUCACUAUGUUGAUCAUAUCUACUAUAUGAUUCACGCUCGACCUUUCGGUCUCCGUGUUCUGAGGCCAUAUCUGUUAUAUGCUAGGCUCGUCAAGUUUAACCUGAGUAUUCCGCGUGUGCAACUGUUUUGCACCCAUUGUAUUUGAACGUAGAGCCUAUCACACCCGAUCAUCGCGUGGUGUCUCAGCACGAAGAACUUUUGCAACGGUGCAUACUCAGGGAGAACACUUAUACUUUGAUAAUUUAGUGAAGGAUCAUCUUAUAAUGCUACCGUCAAACAAAGCAAGAUAAGAUGCAUAAAGGAUUAACAUCACAUGCAAUCAAUAUAAGUGAUAUGAUAUGGCCAUCAUCAUCUUGUGCUUGUGAUCUCCAUCUCCGAAGCACCGUGCUUGUGAUCUCCAUCUCCGAAGCACCGUCAUGAUCACCAUCGUCACCGGCGCGACACCUUGAUCUCCAUCGUAGCAUCGUUGUCGUCUCGCCAACUUAUUGCUUUUACGACUAUCGCUACCGCUUAGUUAUAAAGUAAAACUAUUACAUGGCGAUUGCAUCUCAUACAAUAAAGCGACAACCAUAUGGCUCCUGCCAGUUGCCGAUAACUCGGUUACAAAACAUGAUCAUCUCAUACAACACAUUAUAUCACAUCAUGUCUUGACCAUAUCACAUCACAACAUGCCCUGCAAAAACAAGUUAGACGUCCUCUACUUUGUUGUUGCAUAUUUUACGUGGCUGCUACGGGCUUAGCAAGAACCGUUCUUACCUACGCAUCAAAACCACAACGAUAGUUUGUCAAGUUGGUGCUGUUUUAACCUUCGCAAGGACCGGGCGUAGCCACACUCGGUUCAACUAAAGUGAGAGAGACAGACACCCGCCAGUCACCUUUAAGCAACGAGUGCUCCGAACGGUGAAACCAGUCUCGCGUAAGCGUACGCGUAAUGUCGGUCCGGGCCGCUUCAUCUCACAAUACCGCUGAACCAAAGUAUGACAUGCUGGUAAGCAGUAUGACUUAUAUCGCCCACAACUCACUUGUGUUCUACUUGUGCAUAGCAUCAACGCAUAAAACCUGGCUCGGAUGCCACUGUUGGGGAACGUAGUAAUUUCAAAAAAAUUCCUACGCACACGCAAGAUCAUGGUGAUGCAUAGCAACGAGAGGGGAGAGUGUUGUCCACGUACCCUCGUAGACCGACAGCGGAAGCGUUAUCACAACGCGGUUGAUGUAGUCGUACGUCUUCACGAUCUGACCGAUCAAGUACCGAACGUACGGCACCUCCGAGUUCUACACACGUUCAACUCGAUGACGUCCCUCGAACUCCGAUCCAGCCGAGUGUUGAGGGAGAGUUUCGUCAGCACGACGGCGUGGUGACGACAAUGAUGUUCCACCGACGCAGGGCUUCGCCUAAGCUCCGCAACGGUAUUAUCGAGGUGUAAUAUGGUGGAGGGGGGCACCGCACACGGCUAAGAGAUCUCAAGGAUCAAUUGUUGUGUCUCUGGGGUGCCCCCUUGCCCCCGUAUAUAAAGGAGCAAGGGGGAGGCAGCCGGCCAAGGGGAGAGGCGCGCCAUAGGGGGGAGUCCUACUCCCACCGGGAGUAGGACUCCUCCUUUCCUUGUGGGAGUAGGAGAAGGGAAGGGGGAAGGAGAAAGAAGGAAGGGUGCGCCCCCCUUCCCUAGUCCAAUUCGGACCAGACCAUGGGGAGGGGUGCGGCCACCUUUUGAGCCCUUUCUCUCCUUUCCCGUAUGGCCCAUUAAGGCCCAAUACGAACUCCCGUAACUCUCCGGUACUCCGAAAAAUACCCGAAUCACUCGGAACCUUUCCGAAGUCUGAAUAUAGUCGUCCAAUAUAUCGAUCUUUACGUCUCGACCAUUUCGAGACUCCUUGUCAUAUCCCCGAUCUCAUCCGGGACUCCGAACUCCUUCGGUACAUCAAAACUCAAUAAAACUGUCAUCGUAACGUUAAGCGUGCGGACCCUACGGGUUCGAGAACUAUGUAGACAUGACCGAGACAUGUCUCCGGUCAAUAACCAAUAGCGGGACCUGGAUGCCCAUAUUGGCUCCCACAUAUUCUACGAAGAUCUUUAUCGGUCAGACCGCAUAACAACAUACGUUGUUCCCUUUGUUACCGGUAUGUUACUUGCCCGAGAUUUGAUCGUCGGUAUCUCGAUACCUAGUUCAAUCUCGUUACCGGCAAGUCUCUUUACUCGUUCCGUAACACAUCAUCCCGCAACUAACUCAUUAGUCACAAUGCUUGCAAGGCUUAUAGUGAUGUGCAUUACCGAGUGGGCCCAGAGAUACCUCUCCGACAAUUGGAGUGACAAAUCCUAAUCUCGAAAUACGCCAACCCAACAAGUACCUUUGGAGACACCUGUAGAGCACCUUUAUAAUCACCCAUUUACGUUGUGACGUUUGGUAGCACACAAAGUGUUCCUCCGGUAAACGGGAGUUGCAUAAUCUCAUAGUCAUAGGAACAUGUAUAAGUCAUGAAGAAAGCAAUAGCAACAUACUAAACGAUCGGGUGCUAAGCUAACGGAAUGGGUCAAGUCAAUCACGUCAUUCUCCUAAUGAGGUGAUCUCGUUAAUCAAAUGACAACUUAUUUCUAUGGCUAGGAAACAUAACCAUCUUUGAUUAACGAGCUAGUCAAGUAGAGGCAUACUAGUGACACUCUGUUUGUCUAUAUAUUCACACAUGUAUUAUGUUUCCGGUUAAUACAAUUCUAGCAUGAAUAAUAAACAUUUAUCAUGAUACAAGGAAAUAAAUAAUACUUUAUUAUUGCCUCUAGGGCAUAUUUCCUUCACUAAAGGCCCCCCUCUUUAGUACCGGUUCAUCACGAACCGGCGCUAAAGUGCCACCACGUGGCACGAGCCAGGCCCGGGUGCGUGCAGGACAUUAGUGCCGGUUGGUAACACCAACCGGUACUAAAUGUUUGGGGGUGUUUUGGUAUUAUUUUUUAUUUUUCCUUUAAUUUUGUGUUUUCAAUCUAAUUUAGUGAUUAUUUUAGUUGUUAAAUCAUUAGGUGAAAGUACCGCAGAUUAGUUUCGACUGGAUGCAUGUGGAUCCUAGCUAAGUGAUCAAGUAUAUGCCAUAUCCAUAUUAUACUUGAUCACCUAUAAUUAAGUGAUCAAGUAUAAUAUGGAUAUGGCAUAUACUUGAUCACUUAGCUAGGAUCCAUCCAGCUGAAACUAAUCUGCGGUUUCUUUUAUAAAUGAUAUAAUAACUCAUCAUCAUCAUCAUAUUAAUAUAAAAACUCUUGCAUCGUAUCAUCAACAACAGUAAAUUAGCUAGCUAAAAAUCAUCAUAGUCGUCAUUACCACUGUUUAAUCAUCAUAGUCAUUACCGCUAUCUAAUCAGCACCAACACUAGCUUAAAGAAAAAAUAUUCACUUGUACCAGAAGCAAAGAUAUCAUCGAGUUCAACAUGGUCAUCAUAUUAUAAGCGUUCAUAACACCACAAAAGCAAAUCACCCUUUGAGAUUAAGUUCAGAACGAAGAACACGGACAUGAGAGGACAAAAGUACUAAGAGCAUGAACUAGCUAAAUCACUCCUGCUGCUCUCUCUCAGGUAAAAGAUCAUAGAACAUGUAUAGCUCUCCUGAUUCAUCAUACUGGAGCAUGCAGAUGAACCUGUCUCCUAAUCAUGGGUUGCGCUUCUCAUUGCUGCCCCCAGUACUUCUCUGGGAUCGUUAACAAUUUUGCUCCAAUCUUUCACUAUUAAGCAUUCAUCGCUUUUAGAAAUCCUGAAUGCACUCAUGUGCAAUGUAGGAUAUCUUGGCCGUAAGCUAACCAUUGACAUGUGACCUUUAGUCUCGAUCCACUGAGGCACAACUGUCAUCGGGAGUCCCUGUUGAAGAACAUCGUAUAGUAAUUAUUAUACUUAGCAAUGAAAGUUUAGCAAAAUAAUAAUGUAUGCAAAAGAUGCACUGAGGACAAAUAGUAAAAAUCUUACCAUCUUUUGUAAAUAGAUGUGACCGUAGUUCAAUACGAUCACUAUUGGUCGCACGUUUGAGUACUAACAUUUCUAAGUGCAGGAAGAAAAUUUUUCUUAACAGUAUGAAGAUCCUCAAGCCAUGAAACAUAAUGACUUAUCUCCUCGCAGUUUAGUUCAGCUCCGGGACGGUAGUAGGUCCUGUCUACCAAGCGUCGGACAUGCUUGCUUGAAUGGAAAUAAGUUGUCAAUAGAAAUUAGUUGUCAACUAUUUUUGAAUAAACAAUAUCAAAGACAUAAAUAUGGUUGAGAAACUCACAUAAUGGUAGAACUGGAGGCGUCUGCACAUCGACCCAGAUGUCUCUAUUACCUUUAAUAUCAUCUUCCGGACGAAUAUCAAAGGUGAUAACCAUAUCACGCUCAAAUGCAUAAGCCUUGCAUAGUGCUUGCCAAGUUUUGCAUUCAAAAUAGGUGUACGUGUCUGCAUUGUAUAAUUUGACGUUGAAAGUAUAACCAUGCUCGGUCUUCAGGUAAACUCUCUUUACCUCCAUAGUUUCCAUAGCAUUGAAACCUAUCUUAUCCAAGACAAAAAUUCUUGCAUGGCAGGGGAUGCGCUAGUAGAAUAGUGAAAACUUAAAAUUAUAAGUUGAAGCAAAUGAAGCAUAUAUAAGUCAUGCUUAAUUACGAAAAAAGACUUGUCGUUGUGACUUAUUGUAUCCACUUCGAAGGUCUCAUCCAGCUUGAUGCUGAAGCGCCUAUCAUCAACAAGGAAAUUUCUGUCGCACAGGCCGCGCUGGUCUUUACAGUAUUCGCACUUAAUGAAAUCUUUUUCAUCGUCACACGACAUUUCCUAUGUUCAUAUAGGUGAAACAUUAAACACUUACUAGUUCUAUUAAUUCAACUACUUCUAUUAGUUCAACUAGUUCUAUUAAUUCAACUAAUUCAACUANNNNNNNNNNNNNNNNNNNNNNNNNNNNNNNNNNNNNNNNNNNNNNNNNNNNNNNNNNNNNNNNNNNNNNNNNNNNNNNNNNNNNNNNNNNNNNNNNNNNNNNNNNNNNNNNNNNNNNNNNNNNNNNNNNNNNNNNNNNNNNNNNNNNNNNNNNNNNNNNNNNNNNNNNNNNNNNNNNNNNNNNNNNNNNNNNNNNNNNNNNNNNNNNNNNNNNNNNNNNNNNNNNNNNNNNNNNNNNNNNNNNNNNNNNNNNNNNNNNNNNNNNNNNNNNNNNNNNNNNNNNNNNNNNNNNNNNNNNNNNNNNNNNNNNNNNNNNNNNNNNNNNNNNNNNNNNNNNNNNNNNNNNNNNNNNNNNNNNNNNNNNNNNNNNNNNNNNNNNNNNNNNNNNNNNNNNNNNNNNNNNNNNNNNNNNNNNNNNNNNNNNNNNNNNNNNNNNNNNNNNNNNNNNNNNNNNNNNNNNNNNNNNNNNNNNNNNNNNNNNNNNNNNNNNNNNNNNNNNNNNNNNNNNNNNNNNNNNNNNNNNNNNNNNNNNNNNNNNNNNNNNNNNNNNNNNNNNNNNNNNNNNNNNNNNNNNNNNNNNNNNNNNNNNNNNNNNNNNNNNNNNNNNNNNNNNNNNNNNNNNNNNNNNNNNNNNNNNNNNNNNNNNNNNNNNNNNNNNNNNNNNNNNNNNNNNNNNNNNNNNNNNNNNNNNNNNNNNNNNNNNNNNNNNNNNNNNNNNNNNNNNNNNNNNNNNNNNNNNNNNNNNNNNNNNNNNNNNNNNNNNNNNNNNNNNNNNNNNNNNNNNNNNNNNNNNNNNNNNNNNNNNNNNNNNNNNNNNNNNNNNNNNNNNNNNNNNNNNNNNNNNNNNNNNNNNNNNNNNNNNNNNNNNNNNNNCAGCGCGAGACGGCGAUGCGACGGGGACGGCGCGACGACGGGCGGCGGGCCGGGGGCGAGGACGCGAUCGAGACGGCGACGUAGUAUGGGGCGGCGGCGGCGACGAGCGUGGCGCGCGAUGGGCGACGGCGCCGCGGCGGCGGCGAUGUCGCGCGAAGAAGUUGGAGAAGAAGUGGGUCGAUGAAACUGAUUUUUUCGUAAGUGCCAUAUAUAUAGGAGGGGCCUUUAGUACCGGUUGGAGCCACCAACCGGUACUAAAGGCCAAUUUUCGCCAGGUCAAGCGGCGGGAAACGACCCCCUUUAGUACCCGUUCAUGGCUUGAACCGGUACUAAAGGCCCACGCAUUAGUACCGGUUGGAGCCGCCAACCAGUACUAAUGGUUGUGCGCUGCCACCAGCGGUGCACAAUGUUUAGUCCCACCUCGCCGAGCGAAGGGCAGCCGCACUGGUUUAUAAACCCAGCCGCGGCUGCUGCUUCGAACUUCUCUAUAUAGCAGGCUUCUGGACCUAACUUCGGCGCGCUGCCCUGUGAGCCUGCUGGCGCUUCUGGGCCUGUAUUUGCAAACCCUAGUUUUGGCAGGCCACUGGGCAACGCCCCAACAAAUUUUUAUAUAAUUUUCUUCUAUUUAUUUCUGAGUAGUUUUUUUUUGCUGUAUUUAGUUUCUUUGUGAAUAUAACAAUUUUUAUAUAGUUUUUUUCUUUUCUGCAUUAUUUAUUUUCUGCUAUUUAUUUUUGAGUAAAUUUUUUAUAUAGUUUUUGUCUUUUCUGUUUUAUUUAGUACCGGUUUUAUAUAGUUUUUGUCUUUUCUGUUGUAUUGAGUAAUUUUCGUUAGGUCAAGCGGCGGGAAAUGGCCCCCUUUAGUACCGGUUGGAGUUCAAAUAAGUUUAAAAAACAUUGAAGUGCCCGUGUAACAGAUGAGUUCUCGUCCGAAACCCUGAUACUCCGAAAGUGUCUUUUCUGCUAUUUUGUAGUUAUUUUCAAUUUCACCGUCAUUUAGCUCUCUAAACAAAUCGGUAAAUGACUGAAAAACAGCAAAUGAUGUCAGAACGUGUUGAAAAUUGAUGACGUCGCUUUGAAUGAGGCAUACUGAACGCAAAAAUAGGCUGGAGUUUAAAUAAGUUUAAAAAACAUUAAAGUGCCCGUGUAACAGAUGAGUUCUCGUCCGAAACCCUGAUACUCCGAAAGAGAUUGUCCAGUUUGUACACGAUGUGCGUCCAGUUUUCGCCAUGACCCUCUCUACUCUUUUGCACAUGCUAUGCGUGUGAAAUGAUGAUACCAUGCCAAGUUCCAACAUUUUCAGAGUUCAUUUUGUAGUGAUUUUCAAUUUCACCGUCAUUUAGCUCUCUAAACAAAUCGAUAAAUGACUGAAAAACAGCAAAUGAUGUCAGAACGUGUUGGAAAUUGAUGACGUCGCUUUGAAUGAUGCAUAUUGAACGCAAAAAUAGGCUGGAGUUCAAAUAAGUUUAAAAAACAUUGAUUAUCAUAAAAAAUACAUUGAUUAUCAAUGAUCUUUUUGUGUACAAUCUGAAUUGUCAAUAUGAGUCCUCAACGGUUUAGAAACCGGUGAAGAUUCAUAUUGCGACCACAAAUUCUACACAUAGAGUUCAAUGAAGACCAAGUGCUUGUGAUAGUUUGAGAAGUAACAUAUUUAAGGUGGUAAAAAUCUUGCUAGGGGAGCGAGGUGGGACUAAAAACAGCCUGCCACAACCUCUUUACUACCGGUUCGUGCCACGAACCGGUACUAAAGGUGCUGGCCGGGCCCCAUUCUCUUUAGUACCGGUUCGUGGUACGAACCGGUACUAAAGAUCUCCUCCUGCCUAGCCGUUUGAACCAGCACUAAUAGACACAUUAGUGCCGGCUCAAAUGCAAACCAGCACUAAUGUGUCUCAUAUUUGACCCUUUUUCUACUAGUGUUUGGAGCCUUGCUUGGACGUGUGCACAAAGGAACAUGUUGAGCCGUAGCACUCGUAUUACUAAUCAUAUUCGGCGCAGCCAUAAUUUAGUUAGUCAUUUCUUUUCAUGANNNNNNNNNNNNNNNNNNNNNNNNNNNNNNNNNNNNNNNNNNNNNNNNNNNNNNNNNNNNNNNNNNNNNNNNNNNNNNNNNNNNNNNNNNNNNNNNNNNNNNNNNNNNNNNNNNNNNNNNNNNNNNNNNNNNNNNNNNNNNNNNNNNNNNNNNNNNNNNNNNNNNNNNNNNNNNNNNNNNNNNNNNNNNNNNNNNNNNNNNNNNNNNNNNNNNNNNNNNNNNNNNNNNNNNNNNNNNNNNNNNNNNNNNNNNNNNNNNNNNNNNNNNNNNNNNNNNNNNNNNNNNNNNNNNNNNNNNNNNNNNNNNNNNNNNNNNNNNNNNNNNNNNNNNNNNNNNNNNNNNNNNNNNNNNNNNNNNNNNNNNNNNNNNNNNNNNNNAAUUUGACUACAUAGAUCUGGAAUUUGUAUGUGUACAGAUUAAUCUCAAAACGUAUUUCUUGAUUUUUAUAAUUUUCACACACACACUCGAUAAAAUUGAUGAUCGAUGCUAGGGCAACUCCAACAUGCCGGCGCAUUUGGUCAACGCGUGUAGACGCUUUCCCAGCCCAAAUUUGUGUCUGAUUUGCGUCCACAUAGACACGAGAUGCCAUGGGCCCGCGUAUCAGCCGCCCAACUACCUCACGUGGUCAUAGUCAAUGCCGCCACCUACUUCGGACCCACAUGGCAGCGGCUGGAACCGUCCAGAGCCCACCCUCAUUUUAAAUGGCAAGCGUGCCGAAGUGAGAGGGCCUCAUCCAUUUUCCACUUUCGUCCACAUCUGCCCGCUCGUGCCCCUCGGCUGACCCAAAUAGAUAAAAAAAACAGAUAAAAAUCGCAUCCGUCGGGCUGGUUGGUGUCGCCCUUGUGUGAUCUGCCUCCACAAGCAAGCAAUAUCCCCCAACUCAAAGCUAAGCAAUACCGUCCAGUACGCGCCCUCUGCAACGGCUGACCGUCCAGUACGCGCACAGCGCCUCCCCCGCCUCUCCGCCAUCUCGACACCGAUGUCCCGCCUCCACCUCCUCCGCCGCCGCUGCUCCACCUCCAUUUCCACCUCGCCGCCUUCACGCUCCUGGUCUCCCCGCGCUGCCUUUGCCGCUGCCACAGAGCGCGUCCGCGCCGGGACGCUCAGCCCGGAAGACGCACACCACCUGUUCGACCAAUUCCUGCGGCAGUCCACCCCAGUCCCCGAGCGCUCCCUGAAUGGAUUCCUUGCCGCCCUCGUCCGUACGCCGGCCUCAGAAUCCUGCAGAGACGGGCCCUCCCUCGCCCUCGCCCUCUUCAACCGUGUCUGCCGAGAAGAAGCCGGCCUGCGGGUGGCGCCGCCCACCAUCUUCACCUACAACAUCCUCAUGAACUGCUGUUGCCUGGCGCGUCGCCCGGACCUAGGACUUGCCUUUUUCGGCCGCCUCCUCAGGACUGGCCUGAAGACAAACCAGAGCUUCGCCAACACCCUCCUCAAGUGCCUCUGCUGCGCAAAACAGACAGACGAGGCUGUCAGCGUGCUGCUUCAUAGGAUGUCCGACCUCGGCUGUGUGCCUGAUGACUUCUCAUACAACACAGUUCUAAAGAGCUUGUGUGAAGAUAGCAGGAGCCGGCGAGCGCUCGACCUGCUCCAGAUGAUGGCGAAAGAAGGAGGUGUCUGCUCCCCUGAUGUGGUCACAUAUAACACAGUCAUCCAUGGCUUCUUUAAGGAAGGUGAAAUAGGCAAGGCCUGCAAUCUAUUCCAUGAAAUGAUGCAGCAAGGGGUUGUGCCUAAUGUGGUGACAUAUAACUCGAUUAUCGAUGCAUUGUGCAAGGCCCGAGCAAUGGACAAUGCAGAGUUGUUCCUUCGCAUGAUGGUUGAUAACGGUGUUCCACCAGAUAAGGUGACAUAUACUAGCAUGAUCCAUGGAUAUUCCACUUUGGGCGGAUGGAAAGAGGCAACUAAAAAGUUCAGAGAAAUGACAAGCAGGGGUCUUAUACCAGGUAUUAUCACUUGGAACUCGUUCAUGGACUCCCUCUGCAAGCAUGGAAGAAGCAAAGAAGCUGCAGAAAUUUUUCAUUCCAUGUCUGCAAAGGGCCACAAGCCUGAUAUCAUCUCCUACACCACUCUUCUUCAUGGGUAUGCCAAUGAAGGAAGCUUUCCUGAUAUGAUGAGUCUCUUUAAGUCAAUGGAAGGCAACGGUAUUGUAGCCAACUGCCAAGUUUUCAACAUAUUAAUUGAUGCAUAUGCUAAACGAGGAAUGAUGGACGAAGCUAUGCUCAUAUUUACCGAAAUGCUAGGACAAGGAGUCAAUCCGAGUGUAAUCACCUACUCAAUUGUGAUAGCUGCACUUUGCAGAAUGGGUAGGCUGGCCGAUGCUAUGGAUACGUUCAGUCAGAUGAUUUCUGUUGGAAUGAAACCGGACACAGUUGUUUAUCAUUCCCUAAUUCAGGGUUUCUCUACACAUGGCGAUUUGGUCAAAGCGAAAGAACUGAUAUAUGAAAUGAUGAACAACGGUAUUCCUCGUCCAAACAGUGUAUUCUUCAGUUCAAUAGUAAACAGUCUAUGCAAAGAGGGGAGGGUUGUGGAUGCACAUCAUAUCUUCGACUUGGUUAAAGACUUAGGUGAGAGACCUAACAUCAUUAUGUUUACUACGCUGAUUGACGGAUAUUGCUUAGUCGGUGAGAUGGACAAAGCAUUCAGAGUACUUGAUGCCAUGGUAUUAGCUGGCGUUGAGCCUGAUGUCGUUACAUAUAGUACACUUGUCAAUGGCUAUUGUAGUAAUGGAAGGAUCGAUGAUGGGUUGAUUCUGUUCAGAGAAAUGUUGCAUAAGAAAGUUAAACCUACAACUGUUACAUAUAACAUCAUACUGGAUCGAUUAUUUCGUGCCGGGAGAACAGUUGCUGCAAAGAAAAUGCUCCAUGAGAUGAUCGGAAGUGGAACACCUGUGAGCAUGCAUACAUACGGCAUAUUUCUUAGAGGACUUUGUAGGAAUGAUUGCACCGAUGAAGCAAUUGCCCUGUUUCAAAAAUUAGGUGCACUGAAUGUGAACUUCGAUAUUACAAUACUCAAUUCCAUGAUUAAUGCAAUGUACAGGGUUCAGAGAAGAGAAGAAGCUAACAAGUUGUUUGCUGCUAUAUCAACCAGUGGGUUGGUACCUAAUGCUUCCACUUAUGGAAUCAUGAUCAGAAAUCUUCUAAAAGAGGGAUCAGUGGAAGAAGCUGAAGACAUGUUUUCAUCAAUGGAGGAGAGUGACUGUGCUCUCAGCUCUCGUCUUAUAAAUGAUAUCAUUAGAACAUUAUUGGAAAAGGGGGAUAUAGUCAAGGCCGGAAAAUACAUGUCUAAAGUUGAUGAAACGAGCAUCUCACUUGAAGCUUCAACUAGUUCGUUGUUGUUGUCUCUCUUUUCCGGGAAAGGGAAAUGUCGGGAACAAAUAGAAUUGCUCCCUGCAAAGUACCAAAUUUUCGAUGGAAUCAGUUGAUGCACUGGACUUAGCAGAUAAGCCUUGUCAUGGUUCGGAGUUUCCUCUCAAUGAGCUGGGUGAUGGUGCCACCAUGGUGUUCUGGGCUGGUGCUUAGCCACUAGGCGUGCAUCCUAUGGGCAUUGUUCCUAUUCUGCAAACCAUCUCUACACAAGGGCUGUCUCGUGCGUGAUGUGUUUGCUAAUGGUGAAAAUUUACUAAUAUUCAGGAGCAAUUCGCAGCAGAUGCUAACACUGAGUUUAUCGAGCUCUUGCUACUGUAUCAGGCUAUUUUGAGUUCUCUGAACCUGAGCAUAUCUAGCGCAUUUUGGGCUGAGGGUAAUUAUAAUGAAAUCGAUGGACUAUUCUACGUUAUCAAGCUAUUUGGAUUUCUCUGAACCUCCAGUACCAACAACUUGCAAUGAUGGAGAGCUAUUGAAACGUGUGUAUAUAAACUCGGAACCUUCAUUCAAUCUCCUGUACGUCCUCCGGUUUAUGAUGAACGAAAAAUUGUUAUAAGAGAAGACAAGAAUGAGCAUGGUAUAAUGGUCUUCUGUAUACAGCUUUAGUUGUAGCACUACCAUGAAAAUUAAUGACGUUCCUUCAAAUUCAACUUUAGUUGUAUUUUUUUAUGGUUUGCAAUUUUUAUGUGUGGACUAUUUUAUAUAGCCCUGUGUACAGCCCUCUUUCCUUCAAAUU